rnacentral:lncRNA from 1 species
UUGUCAUGCCUUAUUUGUUUUUUGUGGUACUCAUUUUUUCCCAAAUGCUUAUGUUCUUACACAUAAGCUUCAUGAACUGAUCAUUGAUUUGCAUGUAUCAAAAUAGAACAUUCACGGCGUACUGAACAUUCACGUGGUUCUAGUUGUGUACUGUAGGGUACUGAUCAAAUAUUCGAACAAAAAAACCAUUAAUAUCUCAUUUUUUACUCUAUUAAGGAAUAGAUAAAAUAUAAUCAGCGUUUAUUCGCUAGCUGGAAUUUAAGGCAACGGCGAGAGAGGAAGAUCAAGGACAACUUCAGGAUUACAUAAUAUAUGCAAGGUACGUGUCGUAUGAACUUCAUAUGUUUAUUUACUAUUCUAUAGCUGGAAUGUGAUUAUUUCUGACGAAUAAAAUAUGCAUCGUAUCGUAUAACAGUGCGUGUAUGGAUGAAGUUAUAUAAUACGAGAUUAGCUACAGCAAAAGAAAAUUAACGACGUGCACAAUAACGAUGAAAUAUUAAUGAAUUUAUUUGUUCACUUAAAUAAUUCACUGAAAAAAAUGAUCAGGCAAUCUCUACGCGCUAAUCAUGCAUUUGGCCAACAAUUAUUUGGAUCUCUACCUCACAAGCGUUAGGCUUUAGUACUUUAGUGUGACGAAAUAGCCCAGAUGGUCUGUCCUGACCCACUAAAACACAUGGACAUAUUAUGUUUCUCCUACUAAAGAUCGGUAUGUGCAUAGUCUACUCAUGCCGCCUCUCCCCCUCAUCAUCUAUCCUUGAUGCAUCAUGGUGCCUCUCUCCCUCAUCCUCUCUCGAUUGCAACACUGAUCGGGAACCGGAAUGUGAAGCUCGAUUUCUAGAUUGACAAGCUAGACCCCUCGCCGGAAUAAGCUGCUUUGUCGUCGGAGCGGUUGAAUCCUCGUAGUGUAGGAGAUAUGAUUUGUGGGUGAGAUUGUUUUUUUGGCUGAUUAAUUGUUUUUUUGGCUGAUUCGCUCGACACCUCACCAGUUAAGCUGAUUUAUUUCCGAAGGACAUGGUGGUCGUUUUUUUGAGCAUCUAGGGCGAAAGCUAGGCGCUAGGCCAAUGCCCACCGCUUAACCGUGCAAAGGAGAGCGCCUGACAUCGCCUUUCUGAACAGUAAAACCGACAACGCGAUGCGACGGCGCCGCCGUACAGUGAGGCCUUCUGAGUCUAUAUGAAGGAUGUCCUUGCUGGGAGCCUGUCCUAUGACGACUUUGAUGGCCUGUCGUGUAUGCCAAACGAGUUGCUAGGUGCUACAGUCGUGACGGCGUUAAUUAACUGAACAUCAGGAUGUCGCCUAGCAUACGCCAUCUAUAUAGCCAACAAAAGCAGUCAAUAUUAAAUUGACAACAUCUCUAUUCCUAAUAGGGCAAUUGGUGAAUAGUCCGCCGGUUUUUUUCGCUGGUUUUAUUUCAUCUACCAUCCCACCUCCUCAUAUCGCUGGUUUAUUUUCGUCCAUCGUCCCACGAACGUAAGCUCAAAACCCUCCAGCGAAAAAAUAGCGAAAAAAACCAUACGUUCGAUGCCUCCUUCCCAGAUCAGAUCUUCCGCCGUCGCCAACCAUCCCUUCGCAACCCCAAACCACCCCUUCGCCCCCGCCGGACAUCCAUACCUGUGACGCAGCCGAUCCUAACCUUCGCCGCCGCCGCCGCCCAUCUGCUUCAGGGUUGAUUCAGCAGACAGCGAGGCGUUCCCGUUUUGGAGUCACCGGCGACCACGCUCAGGAUCCGAUGGCUAUUCCACAUCGUCUCUGCCGGCUUGGAACCCAGUUCAUUCGUGCGUAUUACAACACAGGUCUUACAGUGCAUAUACAUCCAUAUCGGCUAUCUUCAUAUUUGCUACUACAACUUGUUAUAUCCUUGAGCAUCGCACAUUACUAAUUCUCAUAGCGGUUCUUAGUGAUCCAACAGAUCCGCGCAUUGUGCACAUAAAUCCAUGAUCCUUUCCAGGAGCAUGGGUGGCCAGACAUCCAGACUGCAUGGCACAAAACAAAGACGUGUCUAUGAAAAUUUGCACAGAUUCGCAUAGGAGCUGCUAACUCCAUACAUGAACUGCAUGACGAUCUGUUUAUGCAAUUUGCCAUACAAUUUCAUGCAUGUUGUCACCAACAGGAGCAUGUUUUGCUUGUACUUACUUAGUGUGCUGCUUAGUGUGCUACUUCUUCUGCUUAGUGUGCUGCAUCUUCUUCUUACUUUUCCAGGAGUGUUGGUCUGCAGACAAGGAAGAACCACUCAGUUCAAAUGAACUUGGACACAUAUAUAAGCUAGCGUUAACCUUAUUACCCUCCACAAGCAAUUGUCAAUGGCACAUAAUGGAGCAAGCUGUAUCCGAAAUUGUAAUCUGUGAGCCACUUUGUUAAUGGCACAUAUGCCGGAAUGGAAUCGUAAGCAAUGAUGCAGCAUUAGUCGGUUUGUGCCGGAAUGGCAUUAAUCACUUUCCAAAUAUAAUUUAAUGAAUGAAAUGUUUGUAUGUAAGUACUACAAAUCAGCUCCAAGUUCAUUUUAAUUUUUAAAAACACGUUAAAACUGAUUAAAAAGGGGGGGGGGUAUCUUGAACAAAAAAUUGUAGAAAUCAAUGUUCAGUAAACCAGGGUUGCGUGCAAUGGUAAUUUUUUCCCUCAGUGUACUUUUAGCCCUAAAGAUGGUCAUCAACAAUGAAGUUAUACAACAUGUAACAUGCAUGUUAUGUCAUGAUCCCUCGGUAAUAAAUUUCUGAUGACUAACCUAUUUUCACCAUUUGUAACACUAAUUAAUUUAUAAAGGAAUAGGAUGUACCUUCACAAUCUUGUACUUGGUUGCCAGCCCUAAUCCACUAGAAAUAUCUGCAGAACAGGAAGAAAACAAGAAGAAACUUGGCAGUAGCAUUUCACAGAGAGUACAAUAUCUGUGCCUAUAUGUACGAAUGGGGAAUCCACAAAGCAAAGCAACGGAUCAUGUGACAUCGUCGGAUGUACCUCCAGGUAAACGUUUUUCUAUAAGACUUUCUAUACAUAUCAGGCUAUAUACUGAUUGUGAUUUCAUGUAUUGAAUUGUUUGCAGAAAAGUUGGAUAGGACAAAUGAUGUUGAGAACUACCCAAAUAUGCCAAGUAUGCCAGUUGGAUCCACCCCGCAGCCGUUUGUGCCCCAUACUGAUAUUUUGAGUACUGAAGUUGUUGCAAAUGACAUGGACCGGGCAAUGCUUGAUGGUAAAUACCCUAUUAGUUACAGUAUGAGUCUACGCGGAGAGAGUACUCAUGAUUUUGUUGCCUUAAUGUGAUUAGCUGUAUCUCAUUCACUUGUACCAACCAACUUCAGAUCGGUCCUCAUCAAGUCAGAAUGCACAACUGGAUGUGCACGGAACCACUGAUGGCGAUAUCACAUAUGUUCAGCAGGCUUCCCACAUAAUUAAUAAUCGACGAUCUUCGGUUAGGAGUAAACUGACUUGUUAUGUCCACUAUCGGUUAUGUUUACAACUAGCAGAGAACCCAGCAACCUCAUUUAUAUUGAAUGACGCUUCGUUUGUGCCUCUCAGUUGUCUCUCAGACGCGUCAGACACAGCCGUAGCACAAAGUUUAAAUGGUAUUACAUGAUUCGCCUUUAGUUGUGAACCUUAUCAUGGUUGAAUAGGUUGUGUUGCAUAUGUACAAUAAUCAUGUUGCUUUUGUGUUGUUCCAGAGAGUCGUGAUGUGUCUCAUACAGAUGGAAUAAGUCAAGUAUACAUUAAUGCAACUGCUCAGGUUUCACCCCAUUCCUAUUCAACAUGCGAGCACAUGACUACAGGAUCUCUCUUGAAUGUCUCCAAUCAAAAUAAGAUUGUUCUCUUAUCUGAGGAGAAAAAGGAUGAGAUAAACGCCAAGAGGCGAGCUGCUUAUCGAAAGAAAAAAGUUGAGGAAGCAGACAAACUAGAGCAUGAAUAUCAACCUUCCGUUACAAUGUCUGGUAUGAUUGUUUGAUUUUUAAUCAAUACAAGUAACAAUUAUUACAAUGUUUAUUCCUAGGUUCACUAAUCUCACAUCUUGAUGUUUCAAUCAGUAUUUGAUAAGAGGGAGCUAAUAAACGCACGGAGACGGGCAUCAUAUCAUAAGAAGAAAGAGAAUGCUGACGAAAACAAGGAGCCACUAAAAGCUCCAAGGCGAGGUGGACAUCGAAAGAAAAAUCAGAACGCCUCCAACAUAUGUCUCCAUGAAAAUAUGCCUGCCCUUAACGUAUCGGGUACGAGUAUGCUAUAUUACAACAAUACGACGAAUGUAUUUAAACCAUUUGUUGCAAACUAUAUGAUUGUUAUCAGAAGAUAACUUAGUACAACACCUUCAAUCAUCAAGCAGGUAUGCAAAGUGUUCCACGUGGCGCUCUCGGUGAUCACACUAUAACAUCAUCAGAUGUACCUCCAGGUCAAUGUUGCUCUAUAAAACUUGCUACACAUAUCUUCCUAUAUCCCGAUUGUGGUUUCAUUUGCUGAUGUGGUUGCAGAUAAGUUGGAUGGGACACAUGAUGGUGAUAACUACCCAAGUAUGACAAGUAUGCCAGAUGGAACGACCCCACAACCGGUUGUUCCCCAACCCACUAAUCGUGAUAUCACAUCUGUUGAGCGGCCUUCCCAGCUGAUCUCAGGUUAGUAUUACAUAUAAUUAAUAAUCGACGCUUUUCGGUUAGGAGUAAACUGACUUGUUAUUGACACUACAUGUUAGUUUUACAUCAAGCAGACAAACCAUGCUCCUCAUUAAUGGGGAAUGAAUCUGCGUUUGUGCCUCUCAGUUGUCUCACACACGAUUCUGGAUCAGCCGUAGCACAAAGUGUAAAUGGUACUACCAAUUCAUUAUUUAGUUGUGAACCGCAUCAUGCUUGAUGAGGUUUUGUUCAAGAUGUUCAAGGCUCAUAUUGCUUUUGUGUUGUUCCAGAUGCUAUUGAUGUGUCUCCUAUAGAUGGCACAAGACACGUGUACAUUAAUGCAAGUGCUCAAGUUUUACCCCAAGCCGAUUCAACAUCUGAGCAGAUGACUAUAGGAUCUGUCGUUAUGUCUGCAAACUACCUAAGAAAGGUAUCAUGUCUGACGAAAAAAGGGAUCAGAUAAACACCAAGAGGUGAGCUGCUUAUCACAAGAAAAAAGAGGAGGAAGCAGAUAAACUACAACGUGAAUAUCAACUUUCCCUUACAAUGUCUGGUAAGAUUGUUUCAUUUAUAAUCAAUCCAAUGAACAAUUAAAAAAACGCAUUCCUGCGUUGAGUACUCUCACAUCUUGCUCCUUUAAUAAAUAGAUGACAAGAGGGAGCUAAUAAAUGCACAGAGACGGUCAUUGUAUCGUAAGAACAAACAUGAUGCUGAUGAAAACAUAGAACCUUUAAAAGCCCCUAGCCAUGGUGGUUAUAUAAAGAGAAAUGAGGAAGCCGCCAACAAGCACCUCCAUGAAAAUAUGUCUGCCCUUGACAUAUCGGGUACGAGUAUUCUAUAUUUCAGCACAACGACGAAUGUAGACACUACCUUUGUUGCCAACUAAAUGAUUGUGAACAGAAGAUGAAUGAGUACAACACCUAUAAUUAUCAAGCAGGUACACAAAGUGUUCCACGGAGGGCUCUCGGUGAUAUUACUAAUGGUGAACAAACAUCCUCUAUGAUCCUGGACGCUAAGAAGGUGCAUAUUAAGACAAAAAGUCGAGCUACCAUGAAGCACCAUGAUGAAAAUCUUCCUGCCCUUACAAUUUCAGGUUAGAAUGCAUUAAGCUUCAGCUCGCCUUUAUAGUACAUGUUCAUAAUGUAACUUGUUUUAGUAUGGUUAAUGUAUUUUCAUGCAACUCAAACUUUUGAAACUCAAUGUUUUAACUAUCACUGGAUUGACUUUUGGCAAGACAAAUAGACCUUAUGUAGAUGGAUGUUAGGAUUCAGAUUCAACAAACCAUUCCAUAUAUACAUUAGAUAAUAUAUUGAUACCUUUGGUAGCAAUGACCAAAUAAUUCAGUACUGAUUAUGUUUGUGCACGUGUGUAUAACCAGCCGACCAAACUAGGUCCAGCCAUAAAUCAUUUACACAAGAUGAUGCGGUAUUGCCUCAUUCCAGUACAAUCACGCCUGAUGUCAUUCAUGAUUACCACCUAGCUAUGAGGUAGCGUGUUAAGGAGCGCAAAGCUAUCUUAACUCCUGAUCUAAUGGAGCAAUCAAACGUGAGUAGGCGUGCAACGUAUCGGAAACACGUGGAUGACGGAUCUAUCGAUCUUGAAGAAAAAAAUAAGAAGCUGCGAGAAUGGAGGCCAUGCAGCAAAUAAAAGGGGGAGUUGAGUGCAAAGAGAAAGGUAACUUAUGCUGCAAAGAAAAACACCCCGUGCAAAGAAUCCCUCGCACUCCCACGUCCAGGCCUAGCAAACUCAACAUCUGAAGGUCCAGGACCCACCUCCCGUGCAAUAACCCUUUCUCGGGACGCCGAAGAUGAUUCAUCUGAUGGUGACACUCCGAGGAUCAUGCCGAAUAACAUUGUUGGUACCAAUGGUAUGAAAAUGCUAUUGUCACGUUCUUAUGCUUAUUCUCAGCAACCCUCUUCUGAUAUGAGGUUGCCUAUUGACACAUUCGCCAUGACGAAAAUGCAGACGACAUCUAUGGGUUCCGAGACCGCAUCAUGGGCGAUGAGCCGACACCAUCCGACUUGAUGGAUGAGGAGUACUACAUGUUUCGCGGUCAAGGUAAGGUCAACUAUUAACUAUGAAGUCGUGUAGCUUUUUUUUAGUUAUAGUUAUUAGGAAAUAAUGUUUUGAACAUCAUGUUUGAACAAAUGCCCGUAGGAUCGAAUAAUGACACCAUGGAGGAUGACGAGGAAGCGAGCAUGUCGUCUGCUAUACCUAGGUAGGUUGAUCCAUUAGAUUUUGUCUAAACAAACGUCCCAGACACCACUCACAUCCUCAAGCUCGCCGCAAACUGCAAACACUGCAAAGCCAAAAAGUUUGAGUCUGAGACCGACGGGUUCUGCUGUUGUAAUGGCCAGAUCGAACUUACGCAACUGGAACAAAUCCCAGAGCUAAUGAGGCUAUGGUCCAGCAUGGAUGCAGAUUCUAGACAUUUUUGUGACAACAUAUGGUUCUUCAACGGGCAUUUUGCCUUCACAACCCUUGGCGUCAGCCUUGAUGAGAACUACACAAACAUGAAGUCUGGGGUGUACACAUUUAGGGCACACGGCACCAUCUACCACAAUGUGCAUUCUUUCAGGCCUAGCUCACGUCCAGAACAUCUGCAGUUGUACUUCUAUGAUGACAACCCAACCAUAACUCAUCGUAAGGCGGCCACCAAGCAAUUAGACCAGGAUGUCAUGACGAAGUUAGUACACAUACUUAAACAAAACUUGUACUCCCACCAAUUUAGGAGUUUGGGUGCACACAAGGACAACCUCGACGAUUAUAGGAUAGACCUAAACACUGAUAAGAGGCUUGACUAAAGAAGAUAUAAUAGACCGUUGUCAUCUGAGGUCGCUGCAAUUUGGGUUGAGGGCAAUGACCUAGCAAAAAGGUUUGAUCGGAGGAUAACACUUUGCGGUAGGCACAGUAUACGUGUGACCUCUGGAGCAUAUGACCCAUUGUCUUAUCCCCUAUUAUAUCCAAUGGGGGAACUAGGUUGGCAUCCGAAGCUACCUAAACGUAAUGUUCCUUGGGAGGUUUUACUAAAUCCUCAACUGGGCCUUGAUGAUGACGAUGAUGCAGGUAUGUCGUAUGCGUCCCAUUAUGUUACAAAUAAAAUAUUAUUUCUUGAAUAUAUACUCAUUUUGAUGGUAAUCGAUCACGUGCAGAGGGGAAUAGCAGGUUGUACGUCUCUGUCAGAGACUACCACUGUUACAUGGUAAAGACACGGCCUGCCAUUUUCAAUCACAUACUCUGUGGAGCACGCCUGCUGCAGCAAUGGGCGGUUGACAUGUAUGUCAAGAUUGAGAGUUGUCGGUUGAGGUGGUUCAAGAAGAACCAGAUGCAGAUUCGGGCCGACUUGUAUAAAGGAGUUGUUGAUGCGAUCACAUCGGGCGAGACGCGAGCAAGCGUUGUUGGGACAAGAAUAGUGCUCCCUGGAACAUACCCUGGUGGUGAUCGCGACAUGAAAAAGAGACAUAUGGAUGCCAUGGCAAUUGUCCAUACAUACGGGAAGCCUGACAUCUUCUUGACCAUGACUUGCAAUCCUAAAUGGGAAGAGAUAACGAAUGAGUUGUUGCUUGGUUAGAUGGCGCAAGACCGACCUGAUAUUGUGGCUCGCGUGUUCUACGGCAAACUAGAGGCUAUGAAAGACAUGUUGUUCAAGAAGCAUAUUCUGGGUGUUGUUGUUUCUUAUGUAUACGUAGUAGAGUUCCAAAAAAGGGGCCUUCCCCAUGCACAUUUUUUGUUGAUCAUGGACUCAGCAUAUAAGCUUAUCAUCCCGGAGCACUAUGACCGACUCAUUUCUGCAGAGCUCCCAGACAAGCAUAAGUAUCCGGAAUUGUAUGCAAUGGUGGUAAACAUAUGAUGCACGGACCAUGCGGUGCUCUGAACCCAAAAAAUGUAUGCAUGCAAGAAAACGGAUGCAAGUGCAGAUACCCACGGCCGUUCAAUGAAAACACAUCACAGGGGAAGGACUCCUACCCAGUUUAUCGGCAGAGAGACGAUGGUAGACGUGCUAAGGUCUGAGGAAAGAUGUUGAACAACAGAUGGGUUGUGCCUUAUAAUCCAUACCUCCUGUAGAUGUUCAAUUGCCACAUCAACGUUGAGGUCUGCUCUAGCAUAAAGGCCAUCAAAUAUCUUUACAAGUACAUUUAAAAGGGCCAUGAUAAGGCUUCUUUCAGCAUCUACCAACCCAAUGCCGAUGGUAACAUUGAUGAGAUCAAGAGGCACGUUGACGCAAGGUGGGUUUCCCCUCCGGAGGCUAUGUGGAGGAUAUUUGGCUUCACACUUUGCGCCAAUCACCCGCCUGUCUUGCAGUUGCCUCUUCAUCUCCUGAAUAUCCAUAGGGUUGCAUUCAAUGCGCAGGCUGACUUGAAGAAUGUUGUCGCCUCCAAAAAUGCUUCAAAAUCCAUGUUAACGGAGUAUUUCAAGGCUAACCAGGAACACCCUUGGGCUAGGCAUAUAUUGUACAAGAAUUUUCCCGGAAGCUUCACAUGGCAGCAGAAAAAUAAGUCUUGGAGGCCUCGGGUUGAGCAUUUUCAAAUAGGUCGCAUAGUGUCUGCCAAUCCUGCCGAGGGGGAGCGAUACUACCUGCGCGUGUUGCUAAACCAUGUUGCGGGCAAAACAACCUUUGAAGACUUGCUCACCAUUGACAGCGUGCUAUGUGGGAGCUUUAGAGAUGCUGCUGAACGGUUGGGUCUCAUUGAGGCAGACAACACGCUCGACGACUGUCUUACCAAGGCUGAGCAGUGGGCGAUGCCAUGUUCUCUUAGGAGGCUCUUCGCUACCAUAUUGGUGCACUGCGAGCCAGGCGACAUGCACGGUUUAUGGGAUAGGCACCUCGGGUCUAUGUGAGAGGACUAUCGUCGAACACGCACGUCCCCUGACGAGGUGGAGCUGAUGGUGUUGCUUGACAUUAGGGGUAUGUUGCAGUCCAUGGGUAAAGACAUUGUUGAUUUCGCUCUUCCAAGCAUAGAUGAUGCGUUUGACCCAAUAGAGGGCGAGGCAAGAGAGGUCAUCGAGGAAUCAACCAUUGAGUUUGACAUGGAUGACACUAAAUUGGCAUCUUCCCUGAACUUGGAGCGGAGGGCCGCAUACGACGAGAUACUAGGGGCUGUUGAAUGCGGUGAUGGGGGUGUAUUCUUUGUUGAUGGCCCUGGAGGUACAGGGAAGACAUUCCUAUACAUGGCGAUGCUUGCCAAGGUGAGGAGCGAGGGCAAGAUUGGUAUCGCUACCGCGACGUCGGGCGUCUCCGCUUCUAUCAUGCCUGGCGGCAGGACAGCCCACUCAAGGUUCAAGAUCCCAUUAAGCUGCGAUGAUGGAGCCUCGUGCAGCUUCACCAAGCAGAGUGGGACCGCCAAGCUACUAAGGAUGGCGUCAUUGAUAAUAUGGGACGAGGCCAGCAUGACAAAGCAACAAGCGGUCGAGGCAUUGGACAAUAGCAUGCGCGACAUCAUGGGAAUACGCGACCAACCCUUUGGAGGAAGGCCUGUUGUUUUUGGCGGGGACUUUAGGCAGGUGCUUCCGGUCGUCAGAAGGGGGUCGCAGGGCCAAAUAGUUGAUGCAACCCUCUGAAGUUCUCAUCUAUGGAAGGGUAUGCGGCAGCUUCGGCUCAUCACCAACAUGAGGGCUCAUAAUGACACGUGGUUUGCAGAUUAUUUGCUAAGGGUCGGCAAUGGCACUAAGGAUGUCGACGAUCAAGGCAACAUACUACUCCCUGAAGACAUUUGUCUGCCAUCUUCAGGCGAGGUUGAAGACCUGGAGAAGCUUAUUGACCACGUGUUCCCGAGUCUAGAUGACAACAUGUCUGAUUCAAAUUACAUGACAUCUCGAGCAAUCCUUUCCACUACAAACGACAAUGUUGACAAGAUAAACAUCCGCAUGAUAGAGCGUUUUCAUGGAGAUGAAGUAAUCUACCAUAGCUUUGACAGUGCGGAGGACGACCCGUAUGGCUACUACGCUCAGGAGUUUCUGAAUGGAUUGACUCCUAACGGUCUUCCUCCGCAUGCACUCAAGCUAAAGUUGAACUGCCCUGUCAUACUGCUAAGGAACAUUGAUCCAGCUAAUGGAUUGUGUAAUGGCACUAGGCUUUUUGUUAGAGGUUUUGAGAGGAACACCAUUGAUGCAGAAAUCGUGAUUGGACAACACACUGGCAGGAGGGUCUUUCUUCCUCGAAUACCUCUCUGUCCAUCUGAAAACGACAUGUUUCCGUUCAAGUUUAAGAGGAAGCAAUUUCCUAUAAGGCUUAGCUUUGCUAUGACCAUUAACAAGGCUCAAGGGCCGACCAUCCCGAUUGUUGGUGUCUACCUACCCAAUCCCGUGUUCUCUCAUGGUUAGCUCUAUGUUGCUUUGUCUUGAGCCACUGCGAAGAGAAACAUAAAGAUACUCAUUCAAAAGGAGAAGCCGAAGGAGAAGGCCAAGAAGCAAAAGGACAAUCCAAAGAAGCGAAAAAGAACGACCUUGUCCUUACUGACCUCGAUGAAGAACAUAGUCUACAAGGAAGUCCUUACUGGCUGAAGUCAAGACUCAAUAGACCGAAAGGUUUUGUAAUGAGAGAGCAUUUACUCUUGCGUUGGUCAAUAUAUGAUGUAAUUCAUUUUUUUACAUAAAUCUUUAUAUUUGGUAUUUUAGUUGGAGGUAUACCCCAUUAAUUGAGCUACUAACUGCAUUUAAAUAAUCCUCCGUCAUAUUGGCACCAUCAUCGCUGUUACUAUCGCAAUGUUUUUGGCAAUUUACAUUUCACACAGCAUAGUGUUUUCGAUCUCGACGAGACGCAAUUUAGAUCUGGACGGCUAGACCGCGGAGCAGGUGGGGGCGCAACAAAGACGGAAGUGGGGGAAGUUCUAGCUUGUCGCUGUCGAAGACCCUAGAAAGGUGUGUGAAGAGAUGUGGGUAGAUUUGUUGGCUCCCACUGGUAGUUGAUCCAUGUGUCCUCCUCAGGUUCAUUCUGCAUUAUUGGGUUGUCUCAAUUUUCAGUUUUGUUCACAUAGCCCUGAUUUUUUUAUUAAUAUUGAUAUCGUCGUUAAAUAUUGGUACCGGGUAGAUUUGAUUUAUUAUAGCUACGUUCUCACGAGAUUAUAUAGAUAUUUAGUGCACUGGUUGUGUUCAUUUUAGAUAUGUUUCUCUGAAUUUAUGACAGGUAAACUACACUAAUAACAAAUCAGAUGUCAUCUCUCAUGUUGCUGAUUCUACCCUAGAAGAUAUGGUAGAAGAGGGAAUGGAGAUAGUAGGAGUGGAAAGCAACUCAGUCCAUCCGGGUGGAAGGGCUUAUAGGCUGACAUGUCAUCUUUGCUGGGCACUACAGGCAAGUGCUGUUUAGUUGAGUCCCACUCAUGAAUUAGAAAAAAAUUCUUUGGGUUCUUGGAUAGAUGCUUUUGGUUUGUUGCGUCAUUUUUCAGGUUCAAUAUGCUAGCUAGCGCCGAGCCUCACUACUGGGAUGAAGAAAUUAUUGCAAUGGUCCCCAAAAGUUCUGUUAAGAAAACAGGCCCGUCUUCAUAAGGAUGAUGUAAGUUGCAUCCAUACUCAGGUUUAUUCUCUGUUCCGUACAUAUUUUUAUUUAACCACAAUAUGUUUUAGCCACUAGAUGGAAAAUAGACAUGCUCCCUUGGCUUAAUCAAAUUUUUAGUUUCAUAAGGAUGAUGUAAGUUGCUGCCCUAAUGUUUAUUUUCUUAACUUAUUAUGAGGAUUCCAUCGAUCAAAGAAAUCAUGCUCCCUUUCCUUGAUCAAAUGCACUUAUGUUUGCUAAUUUAUUUUUAGCGUGUGUUUCUUCCUACUAUCUUAUUAUUCAUCUGUAAACUAACGAGUGCGAAGUAGCAACGCGCUGGCCUUCCAAAGUCGAUGCCAUUAGUUGAAUAUUAAGUUUUUGUCCUACUAUAUAAUGCAGGUUAUAUUUUUAAUGGCAUAUUUAAAACAUAACCUCAAACCGAAAUAGGAAAUAACUUGAUUUUUUUAAAUGCAGACUUGAUAAUAUAUAUCCAAAAUAUAAUAAGCCAAAAUACAGAUAUAAUAUCCGGAAAAAAAUAAUGUUAUAUCAGCAUACUUAGUAUUUAUUACGACAGGUGAUCAUAUCCGGUGUUUAUAUAUAGGCAUGUUCGUUGUUUUUCCUUGUAAUAUACUAUUGUGUUGAUCACGCCAAAUAAAAAAUCUGAUUCCAUUAAAUAUUCUAUGAUUGUGAUCAACAGAAUUUAUUCAUUUUCCGAUUUUGGAAUUAUUGUUUCCUUAUAAACAUCUAUAAAAUGCUGCACCCUUGAAACACUCAAACCCAAACCAAACUGCUCUAACACCCUUGCAACUACAGCUAACUUUGACAUGUCGUCAUCCAACAGCAUCGAUGGGGCUGAUGAUAACCAUCAAGAUAAGGAAGAAACGAGGGAGCUGCACCCUGACGGUCUUGGUCAACUGGAACAAGAUGAGGAAGAACCGCGCCGAGAUUGGAAUGUUGCUGAGGGAUCUGCACCGAGAUGUAAGAAACUAAAGAUGCAUCAUCAUAACCUGCCGUUUCAAUUCCCAUCCAUGCAUCACAUCCCUCGUGCACAUGUCCCAUCAGGCUGGGAUAUCCAGCGUGACACGCGGUCAAGUGCGGCUAGGAAAGACCUUUGUGGUAGAAACUACUAUGACAUUCUGCAAGCACAAAAGCAUACUAGCAUGUUGGUGCAGGUUUUGAUUGACCACAUUAAUCAGCUGACAAAGGUGGUCAAGAAGCAUAUCCAAGAAUGCGACAAGAAGCCAACACCACGUGAUCAGGAUGAAGCAUGAGGAGGUCUACAAUAGUGCUGAUAUGAUAGAUUGAUUCGAUUUUUAUUCGGGUGUAAUAGUUCGGAAUUGAAAAAUAAUAAAGUUAGACUUUCAGUUGAUUUUCAGUAGAUUUUCAAUUGAUUUUGCAUUGUAAUCGAUUUGGUGUCAAUCUAUGAAAGUAUGAAUAAAGAACAGAUAUUGUUUCAUGCUUGCUUUCUUACUCUCUGUUUUUUAUCUUCCCUUUGAGUUUUGUCGCCUAACAUGCUAUAUAUUUCUUUUUCUUAUAUGAAUACGCGGUACAAAUGCUGUAAUCUGUACUUCCAUCGAAAUUUUCUUUUUAUUACAAAUGGCAUUGACUGCGUUUGUGCUAUAUUAACUAACUUACGUCACAAAACGCACAGGCUUCUCAAUUAAGCAUGUUGGUUUUGAAAGUGCGGCUGUUACUACACUGUGCAUACAGAAUCAAAUUAAAAAACAGACGCUAAUUAAAAACAGAUCGAUGUUAGCUUUUCACGCGCAUACUCAAUUAUGCAUGCAACCGCGACCAACGAAUCAAGCCAUCAAAGACCGACUGAACAAAUUAUUACUAUUGCUGAUAACUUCUAUUUAAUUUUUUGUUUCUAUUUUAAAAUGCCCGUAAAAUAGUCGUUGCAAAGUAACACAACGACGUCUUAUCACAUGUAAUAAAAUCGAAUAUAUUGAUCUUUUAUAAUAAAACAUAAAGUAUAAUAAAAGCUGAGUAAAUAAUCGAUUCUUUAAUUGAUUACAUGUUGGUAAUUACUGGUAAUAUAUUUAAUCGACGAAAUAUUGGUGAAUCCAUGGUAAUAUACUAAUUGUGUGACUACACUUACCUUAACGCACUAUCACCUUAAAUAUUUUGAUAUAUCCAAUUAUUGCAUUUCUAACUAAAAAUCUGAAGUCAUCAUUAUAUUCCCACAGUUUGUUAUAUUGAAUAUAGCGUAUUCACAGGCAAAAAGGAAACAAUGAUAUUGGUGAGAUAAUUGACAUGAUUUCGAUCAGAUUAAGAAUCUCAAAAAUCUAUUAAUAAUUAAUUGAUUCAAAAAGUUUUAGCAAUAAAUUAUUUGUUGCCAAAGAACUCUCAUAACUUACUAUUUAUAAUAGUUUCAAUAGUAGAGGGUUUUUUUUCGCUAGACGUCACUUGUACCACUUGCAGCGCAGUAAAAACUUGCUCGAGAAAAUUGCAGUUACGUACACACAGCUAAACCGGAGGGAUAAGUGCAUGGAGACUAUGAGGGAGAGCACAUUAUUGUUCUCCCCCGACAUUAAUGAUGAUGUUCAUCAUCUUCAAGGUAAGUUCUAUAAACUAUUUCAAUUAUUAUGGCUUUUUGUUCUUUUCUGUAUUACGAUGUUAUUAGUACUAACAAAUUGUUUUUUCAUAGAUAUCCAUGAAGCCUGCUUAAUGACACUUGAUGAAACACUAUUAUACGUCAAUGCUGCAGUUGUAGCGAGAAAAAUGGGCAGUAGAUGACUUUGUUUUUCAACAAGGCUCAUUAAAUAGCUCGUUUCCCUCGGUCCUUUUAUCUACAUUUGGAAUAAUAAUGUAUUCACACAGAACAAUCAUUUCUGUUAAAGUGUGUUUUCUUUUUGCUUGUCAACUCUACAUGUAGCCAUUUUGGCAGUAUGUAUUUUUUGUACGCGCACUUAAUUCGUUUUUUUUGUUUUAUACAAAUGUUGAUUUUUUCGAUUCGUUGAGAUUGAACUUUAAAUAUGGCAUGCCUUAGGAACAAAAUAUUCAACUAUAAAAAAGGAGAAAGAUCUGAUACGGCCCGUCAUGUUUUUUUAUAAUUAGAAAGAAUCAUCUACGUCUUAAAAACGACUUGAUAUAUUUGGCAGGCAAUAAAAAGCAGUAAAAAUAUAUCCGUUUAUAUAUAUGCUGCAUCAGAUCUUUCAGCAUUAAAAAUAUAUCCGUAUAAAAAACAUUAAAAAUAUAUCCGUCUAUAAAAAGGAGAAAGAUCUGAUGCAGCAUAUAUAUAAACGGAUAUGUUUUUAUUGCUUUUUAUUGCCUGCCAAAUAUAUCAAGUCGUUUUUAAGACGUAGAUGAUUCUUUUUAAUUAUAAAAAAACAUGACGGGCCGUAUCAGAUCUUUCUCCUUUUUUAUAGUUGAAUAUUUUGUUCCUAAGGCAUGCCAUAUUUAAAGUUCAAUCUCAACGAAUCGAAAAAAUCAACAUUUGUAUAAAACCAAAAAAACCGAAUUAAGUGCGCGUACAAAAAAUACAUACUGCCAUAAUGGCUACACGUAGAGUUGACAAGCAAAAAGAAAACACACUUUAACAAAAAUGAUUGUUCUGUGUGAAUACAUUAUUAUUCCAAAUGUAGAUAAAAGGACAAAGGGAAACGAGCUAUUUAAUGAGCCGUGUUGAAAAACAAAGUCAUCUACUGUCCAUUUUUCUUCGCUACAACUGCAGCAUUGACGUAUAAUAGUGUUUCAUCAAGUGUCAUUAAGCAGGCUUCGUGGAUAUCUAUGAAAAAACAAUUUGUUAGUAAUAAUGACAUCGUAAUACAGAAAAGAACAAAAAGCCAUAAAAAUUGAAAUAGUUUAUAGAACUUACCUUGAAGAUGAUGAACAUCAUCAUUAAUGUCGGGGGAGAACAAGAAUGUGCUCUCCCUCAUAGUCUCCAUUCACUUAUCCCUCCGGUUUAGCUGUGUGUACGUAACUGCAAUUUUCUCGAGCAAGUUUUUACUGCGCUGCAAGUGGUACAAGUGACGACCAGCAUGCUCUUGACUUAGGCGUAUAAAAAGUAUCUCCCGUCUGGAAUGAUAAAGAUAUGUUUAUGGUAGGCAACUAUCAAAUAUUCAUAAUCAUAUAAAACCUCAAGUACUGAUUGGAGUUUACCGAAAAUUCAUGAUGCCUAUCUCAACAAAAUGGACCUGCCGUCUAUAUACUGAAUCCCACCUAUGUUGUAUCCUACCAGCAUAGACAAGAAUACCAAGAACAUCUGGAAAAAAUUAAGUCUGGCUGAGACAAAAUGUAAAAUCGAUGGAUAUGCAAAAACAAACUAAAAGAUGUUGCACCGGUAAUGGUUUUGUCCCGUAGCAAGGAUAUGACACCAAGUUGUGGGAAAAAAGGUGGACAGAUUGUCGAUGCAAUACUGUGCACCGAUGUCCUAGCCAUGGUUAUAGCAUUUAGUUGAAUGACAAACUCCAUGCAUAGAUACUAGAAGUGACCAUCUAGCAUUUCAGUGGGGUUUAUCCUGAUGCUACUGAAGUCAUAUGUUAUCCCGGUCUGCAGAAUGGCGUUGAAUCGAUAAGCUUGGUUGCUGAAGGCAAUUGCUUCAAUCUUUGUUCCCUAGAAAUUUGUAAAAAUUCAGAUAACAAGACUGUAGAACACAUGUGUAUAUACAUUAAAAAAGGUUGCUAUAUUAAGUGAUCACUAAUCUCAUACUUCCUGGUCCGGAAGUAUGCAACGAAAGUAUGGGUUUCCCAUUCCAUGCACCCUGAUAUGGGACUUCCACAUCACCUUAGCUCGAAUGAUCCAACAUCUCUGAUAGAUAUGUUCCAUCCAUACACUUUGAAAAUUCAGGUACCUACACAAAAUAAUACGAAAUGAUGGGAUAAACAAACGGUGAGGUCAGAUAAGCGUGCAUGAAGAUCUGUACACUUGCCUGUUCAUCGGAGGGAUGAUAGGCAGAGGCAUGAUGGGAUCCGGUGGAUUCGCCAUCACCCUCCUCGAGGGCCUCGAGCAGUACGAUAUCACCAUGGUCAGGGAGCUAAUGGAUGAAGUGUUAACGAAAGAUAGAGGGGCUCACGGGCACGGGUAGUGGCACUUAUAUAUCUAGUCCAAGGGGCCAACAGGCGGGAAAAUCAACAUUUUCAAUAUUUGCAUGUGGCCGUCUAGCGAAAAAAAAGCUCUACUAUCGAAACUAUUAUAAAUAGUAAGUUAUGAGAGUUCUUUGGCAACAAAUAAUUUAUUGCUAAAACUUUUUGAAUCAAUUAAUUAUUAAUAGAUUUUUGAGAUUCUUAAUCUGAUCGAAAUCAUGUCAAUUAUCUCACCAGUAUCAUUGUUUCCUUUUCGCCUGUGAAUAUGCUAUAUUCAAUAUAACAAACUGCGGGAAUAUAAUGAUGACUUCAGAUUUUUAGUUAGAAACGCAAUAAUUGGAUAUAUCAAAAUAAUUAAGGUGAUAGCACGUUAAGGUAAGUGUAGUCACACAAUUAGUAUAUUACCAUGGAUUCACCAAUAUUUUGUCGAUUAAAUAUGUUACCAUUAAUUACCAACAUGUAAUCAAUUAAAGAAUCAAUUAUUUACUCAGCUUUUAUUAUACUUUAUGUUUUAUUAUAAAAGAUCAAUAUAUUCCAUUUUAUUACAUGUGAUAAGACAUCGUUGUGUUACUUUGCAACGACUAUUUUACGGGCAUUUUAAAAUAGUAACAAAAAAUUAAAUAGAAGUUAUCAGCAAUAGUAAUAAUUUGUUCAGUCGGUCUUCGAUGGCUUGAUUCGUUGAUCGUGGUUGCAUGCAUAAUUGAGUAUGCGCGUGAAAAGCUAACGUCGAUCUGUUUUUAAUUAGCGUCUCUUUUUUAAUUUGAUUCUGUAUGCACAGUGUAGUAACAGCCGCACUUUCAAAACCAGCAUGCUUAAUUGAGAAGCCUGUGCGUUUUGUGACAUAAGUUAGUUAAUAUAGCACAAACGCAGUCAAUACCAUUUGUAAUAAAAAGAAAAUUUCGAUGGAAGUACGGAUUACAGCAUUUGUACCACGUAUUCAUAUAAGAAAAAGAAAUAUAUAGCAUGUUAGGCGACAAAACUCAAAGGGAAGAUCAAAAACAGAGAGUAAGAAAGCAAGCAUGAAACAAUAUCUGUUCUUUAUUCAUACUUUCAUAGAUUGACUCCAAAUCGAUUACAAUGCAAAAUCAAUUGAAAAUCUACUGAAAAUCAACUGAAAGUCUAACUUUAUUAUUUUUCAAUUCCGAACUAUUACACCCGAAUAAAAAUCGAAUCAAUCUAUCAUAUUAUCACUAUUGUAGACCUCCUCAUGCUUCGUCCUGAUCACGUGGUGCUGGCUUCUUGUCGCAUUCUUGGAUAUGCUUCUUGACCACCUAAGUCAGCUGAUUAAUGUGGUCAAUCAAAACCUGCACCAACAUGCUAGUAUGCUUUUGUGCUUGCAGAAUGUCAUAGUAGUUGCUACCACAAAGGUCUUUCCUAGCCGCACUUGACCGCGUGUCACGCUGGAUAUGCCAGCCUAAUGGGACAUGUGCACGAGGGAUGUGAUGCAUGGAUGGGAAUUGAAACGACAGGUUAUGAUGAUGCAUCUUUAGUUUCUUACAUCUCGGUGCAGAUCCCUCAGCAACAUUCCAAUCUCGGCGCGGUUCUUCCUCAUCUUGUUCCAGUUGACCAAGACCGUCAGGGUGCAGCUCCCUCGUUUCUUCCUUAUCUUGAUGGUUAUCAUCAGCCCCAUCGGUGUUGUUGGAUGAUGACAUGUCAAAGUUAGCUGUAGUGGCAAGGGUGUUAGAGCGGUCUGGUUUGGGUUUGGAUGUUUCAAGGGUGCAGCGUUUUAUAGAAGUUUAUAAGGAAACAAUAAUUCCAAAAUCGGAAAAUGAAUAAAUUAUGUAGAUCACAAUCACAGAAUAUUUAAUGGAAUCAGAUUUUUUAUUCGGCGUGAUUAACACAAUAGUAUAUUACAAGGAAAAACAAUGAACAUGCCUAUAUAUAAACACCGGAUAUGAUCACCUGCCGUAAUAAAUACUAAGUAUGCCGAUAUAACAUUAUUUGUUUUCGGAUAUUAUAUCUGUAUUUUGGCUUAUUAUAUUUUGGAUAUAUAUUAUUAAGUCUGCAUUUAAAAAAGUCAAGUUAUUUCCUAUUUUGGUUUGAGGUUAUGUUUUAAAUAUGCCAUUAAAAAUAUAACCUGCAUUAUAUAGUAGGACAAAAACUUAAUAUUCAACUAAUGGCAUCAACUUUGGAUGGUCAGCGCGUUGCUACUUCGCACUCGUUAGUUUCUAGAUGAAUAACAAGAUAGUAGGAAGAAACACACGCUAAAAAUAAAUUAGCAAACAUAAGUACAUUUGAUCAAGGAAAGGGAGCAUGAUUUCUUUGAUCGAUGGAAUCCUCAUAAUAAGUUAAGAAAAUAAACAUUAGGGCAGCAACUUACAUCAUCCUUAUGAAACUAAAAAUUUGAUUAAGCCAAGGGAGCAUGUCUAUUUUCCAUCUAGUGGCUAAAACAUAUUGUGGUUAAAUAAAAAUAUGUACGGAAUAGAGAAUAAACCUGAGUAUGGCUGCAACUUACAUCAUCCUUAUGAAGAAGGGCCUGUUUUCUUAACAGAACUUUUGGGCACCGUUGCAAUAAUUUCUUCAACUCAGUAGUGAGGCUCCGCGCUAGCUAGCAUAUUGAACCUGAAAAAUGACGCAACAAACCAAAAGCAUCUAUCCAAGAACCCAAAGAAUUUUUUUCUAAUUCGUGAGUGGGACUCAACUAAACAGCACUUGCCGGUAGUGCCCAGCGCAGAUGACAUGUCAGCCUAUAAAUCCCUUCCACCCGGAUGGGCUGAGAUGCUUUCCACUCCUACUAUCUCCAUUCCCCCUUAUACCAUAUCUUCUAGGGUAGAAUCAACAACUUGACAGAUGACAUCUAAUUUGUUAUUAGUGUAGUUUACCUAUCAUAAAUUCGGAGAAACAUCUGUAAAAUGAACACAACCAGUGCACUAAAUAUCUAUAUAAUCUCGUGAGAACGUAGCUAUAAUAAAUCAAAUCUACCCGGUACCAAUAUUUAACGACGAUAUCAAUAUUAAUAAAAAAAUCAGGGCUAUGUGAACAAAACUGAAAAUUGAGACAACCCAAUAAUGCAGAAUGAACCUGAGGAGGACACAUGGAUCAACUACCAGUGGGAGCCAACAAAUCUACCCACAUCUCUUCACGCACCUUUCCAGGGUCUUCGACAGCGACAAGCUAGAACUUCCCCCACCUCCGUCUUCGUUGCGCCCCCACCUGCUCCGCGGUCUAGCCGUCCAGAUCUGAAUUGCGUCUCAUCGAGAUUGAAAAAAGUACGCUGUGUGAAAUGUAAAUUAACAAAAACAUUGCGAUAGUAACAGCGAUGAUGGUGCCAAUAUGACGGAUGAUUAUUUAAAUGCAGUUAGUAGCUCAAUUAAUGGGGUAUACCUCCAACUAUAAAAAUACCAAAUAUAAAGAUUUAUGUAAAAAAAUGAAUUACAUCAUAUAUUGACCAACGCAAGAGUAAAUGCUCUCUCAUUACAAAACCUUCCGGUCUAUUAAGUCUUGACUUCAGCCAGUAAGGACUUCCUUGUAGACUAUGUUCUUCAUCGAGGUCAGUAAGGACAAGGUCGUUCUUUUUUGCUUCUUUGGAUUGUCCUUUUGCUUCUUGGCCUUCUCCUUCGGCUUCUCCUUCUUAAUGAGUAUCUUUAUGUUUCUCUUCGCGGUGGCUCGAGACAAAGCAACAUAGAGCUGACCAUGAGAGAACACGGGAUUGGAUAGGUAGACACCAACAAUCGGGAUGGUCUGCCCUUGAGCCUUGUUAAUGGUCGUAGCAAAGCUAAGCCUUAUAGGAAAUUGCUUCCUCUUAAACUUGAACGGAAACAUGUCGUUUUCAAAUGGACAGAGAGGUAUUCGAGGAAGAAAGACCCUCCUGCCAACGUGUUGUCCAAUCACGAUUUCUGCAUCAAUGAUGUUCCUCUCAAAACCUCUAACAACAAGCCUAGUGUCGUUACACAAUCCAUUAGUUGGAUCAAUGUUCCUUAGCAGUAUGACAGGGCAGUUCAACUUUAGCUUGGGUGCAUGCGGAGGAAGACCGUUAGGAGUCAAUCCAUUCAGAAACUCCUGAGCGUAGUAGCCAUACGGGUCGUCCUCCACACUGUCAAAGCUAUGGUAGAUUACUUCAUCUCCAUGAAAACGCUCUAUCAUGCGGAUGUUUAUCUUGUCAACAUUGUCGUUUGUAGUGGAAAGGAUUGCUUGAGAUGUCAUGUAAUUAGAAUCAGACAUGUUUUCAUCUAGACUCAGGAACACGUGGUCAAUAAGCUUCUCCAGGUCUUCAACCUCGCCUGAAGACAGCAGACAAAUGUCUAUAGGGAGUAGUAUGUUGCCUUGAUCGUCGACAUCCUCAGUGCCAUUGCCGACCCUUAGCAAAUAAUCUGCAAACCACGUGUCAUUAUGAGCCCUCAUGUUGGUGAUGAGCCGAAGCUGCUGCAUACCCUUCCAUAGAUGACAACUUCGGAGGGUUGCAUCAAUUAUUUGGCCCCACGACCCCCUUCCGACGACCGGAAGCACCUGCCUAAAGUCCCCGCCAAAAACAACAGUCUUUCCUCUAAAGGGUCGGUCGCGUAUUCCCAUGAUGUCGCGCAUGCUAUUGUCCAAUGCCUCGACCGCUUGUCGCUUUGUCAUGCUGGCCUCGUCCCAUAUUAUAAACGACACCAUCCUUAGCAGCUUGGCGGUCCCACUCUGCUUGGUGAAGCUGCACGAGGCUCCAUCAUCGCAGCUUAAUGGGGUCUUGAACCUUGAGUGGGUUGUCCUGCCGCCAGGCAUGAUAGAAGCAGCGACGCCCGACGUCGCGGUAGCGAUACCAAUCUUGCCCUCGCUCCUCACCUUGGCAAGCAUCGCCAUGUAUAGGAAUGUCUUCCCUGUACCUCUAGGGCCAUCAGCAAAGAAUACACCCCCAUCACCGCGUUCAACAGCCCCUAGUAUCUCGUCGUAUGCGGCCCUCUGCUCGAAGUUCAGGGAAGAUGCCAAUUUAGUGUCAUCCAUGUCAAACUCAACGGUUGAUUCCUCGAUGACCUCUCUUGCCUCGCCCUCUGUUGGGUCAAACGCACCAUCUAUGCUUGGAAGAGCGAAAUCAACAAUGUCUUUACCCAUGGACUGCAACAUACCCCUAAUGUCAAGCAACACCAUCUGCUCCACCUCGUCAAGGGACGUGCGUGUUCGACGAUAGUCCUCUCACAUAGACUCGAGGUGCCUAUCCCAUAAACCAUGCACGUCGCCUGGCUCGCAAUGCACCAAUAUGGUAGCGAAGAGCCUCCUAAGAGAACAUGGCAUCGCCCACUGCUCAGCCUCGGUAAGACAGUCGUCGAGCAUGUUGUCUGCCUCAAUGAGACCCAACCGUUCAGCAGCCUCUGUAAAGCUCCCACAUAGCACGCCGUCAAUGGUGAGCAAGUCGUCAAAGGAUGUUUUGCCCGCAACAUGGUUUAUCAACACACGCAGGUAGUAUAACUCCCCCUCGGCAGGAUUGGCAGACACUAUGCGACCUAUUUGAAAAUGCUCGACCCGAGGCCUCCAAGACUUAUUUUUCUGCUGCCACGUGAAGCUUCCGGGAAAAUUCUUGUACAAUAUAUGCCUAGCCCAAGGGUGUUCCUGGUUAUCCUUAAAAUACUCCGUUAACUUGGAUUUUGAAGCAUUUUUGGAGGCGACAACAUUCUUCAAGUCAUCCUGCGCAUUAAAUGCAACCCUAUGCAUAUUCAGGAGAUGAAGAGGCAACUGCAAGACAGGCGGGUGUUUGGCGCAAAGUGCGAAGCCAAAUAUCCUCCACAUAGCCUCCGGAGGGGUAACCCACCUUGCGUCAAUGUGCCUCUUGAUCUCAUCAAUGUUACCAUUGGCAUCGGGCUGGUCGAUGCUGAAAGAAGCCUUAUCAUGGCCCUUGUAAAUGUACUUUAUGCUAGAGCAGACCUCAACGUUGAUGUGGCAAUUGAAUAUCCGCAAAAGCUAUGGAUUAUAAGGCACACCCCAUCUGUUUUCCAAAAUCUUUCCUCAGACCUUAGCACGUCUACCAUCGUCUCUCCGCCGAUAAAAUAGGUAGGAGUCCUUCCCCUGUGAUGUGUUUUCAUUGAACGACCGCGGGUAUCUGCACUUGCAUCCGUUUUCUUGCAUGCAUACAUUUUUUGGGUUCAGAGCACCGCAUGGUCCGUGCAUCAUAUGUUUUACCACCAUUUCAUACAAUUCCGGAUACUUAUGCUUGUCUGGGAGCUCUGCGGAAAUGAGUCAGUCAUACUGCUCCGGGAUGAUAAGCUUAUAUGCUGAGUCCAUGAUCAACAAAAAAUGUGCAUGUGGAAGGCCCCUUUUUUGGAACUCGACUAUUUAUACAUAAGCAACAACAACACCCAGAAUAUUCUUCUUGAACAACAUGUCUUUCAUAGCCUCUAGUUUGCCGUAGAACACGCGAGCCACAAUAUCAGGUCGGUCUUGCGCCGUCUGACCAGGCAGCAACUCAUUCGUUAUUUCUUCCCAUUUAGGAUUGCAAGUCAUGGUCAAGAAGAUGUCAGGCUUCCCGUAUGUAUGGACAAUUGCCAUGGCAUCCAUCUGUCUCUUUUUCAUGUCGCGGUCACCACCAGGGUAUGUUCCAGGGAGCACUAUUCUUGUCCCAACAGUGAUUGCUCGCGUCUCGCCCAAUGUGAUCGCAUCAACAACUCCUUUAUACAAGUCGGACCGAAUCUGCCUUUGGUUCUUCCUGAACCACCUCAACCGACAACUCUCAAUCUUGACAUACAUGUCGACCGACCAUUGCUGCAGCAGGCGUGCUCCACAGAGUAUGGGAUUGAAAAUGGCAGGCCUUGUCUGUAGCAUGUAACAGUAGUAGUCUCUGACAGAGACGUACAACCUGCUAUUCCCCUCUGCACAUGAUCGAUUACCAUCAAAAUGAGUAUAUAUUCGAGAAAUAAUAUUUUAUUUGUAACAUAAUGGGACGCAUACGACAUACCUGCAUCAUCAUCAUCAUCAAGGCCCAGUUGAGGAUUUAGUACAACCUCCCAAGGAACAUUACGUUUAGGUAGCUUCGGAUGCCAAGCUAGUUCCCCCCUUGGAUAGAAUAGGGGAUAAGACAAUGGGUCAUAUGCUCCGGAGGUCACACGUAUAAUGUGCCUUUCAUUGUUGUUACCGCAAAGUGUUAUCCUUCGAUCAAACCUUUUUGUUAGGUCGUUGCCCUCAACCCAAAAUGCAGCGACCUCAGAUGACAACGGUCUAUUAUAUCUUCUUUGGUCAAGCCUCUUAUCGGUGUUUAGGUCUAUCCUAUAAUCGUCGAGGUUGUCCUUAUGUGCACCCAAACUCCUAAAUUGUUGGGAGUACGGGAUUUGUUUGAGAAUGUGUACUAACUUCUUCACGGCAUCCUGGUCUAAUUGCUUGGUGGCCACCUUACGAUGAGUUAUGGUUGGGUCGUCAUCAUAGAAGUACAACUGCAGAUGUUCUAGACGUGAGCAAGGCCCGAAAGAAUGCACAUUGUGUUAGAUGGUGCCGUGUGCCCUGAAUGUGUCGGCUCAUCACCCAUGAUGCGGUCUCGGAACCCAUAGAUGUCGUCUGCAUUUUCGUCAUGGCGAAUGUGUCAAUACGCAACCUCAUGUCAAAAGAGGGUUGCUGAGAAUAAGCAUAAGAACGUGACAAUAGCAUUUUCAUACCAUUGGUACCAACAAUGUUAUUCGGCAUGAUCCUCGGAGUGUCGCCAUCAGAUGAAUCAUCUUUGGCGGCCCGAGAAAGGGGUAUUGCACGGGAGGUGGGUCCUGGACCUUCAGAUGUUGAGUUUGCUAGGCCUGGACGUGGGAGUGCAGGGGAUUCUUUGCACGGGGUGUUUUUCUUUGCAGCAUAAGUUGCCUUUCUCUUUGCACUCAACUCCCCCUUUUCUUUGCUGCAUGACCUCCAUUCUCGCAGCUUCUUAUUUUUUCUUCAAGAUCGAUAGAUCCGUCAUCCACGUGUUUCCGAUACAUUGCUCGCCUCCUCAUGUUUGAUUGCUCCAUUUGAUCAGGAGUUAAGAUAGCUUUGCGUUCCUUAACAUGCUGCCUCAUAGCUAGGUGGUAAUCAUGAAUGACAUCAGGCGUGAUUGUAGUGGAAUGAGGCAAUACCGCAUCAUCUUGUGUAAAUGAUGUAUGGCUGGACCUAGUUGGGUCGGUUGGUUAUACACACGUGUACAAACAUAAUCAGUACUGAAUUAUUUGGUCAUUGCUACCAAAGGUACCAAUAUAUUAUCUAAUGUAUAUAUGGAAUGGUUUGUUGAAUCUGAAUCCUAACGUCCAUCUACAUAAGGUCUAUUUGUCUUACCAAAAGUCAAUCCAGUGAUAGUUAAAACAUUGAGUUUCAAAAGUUUGAGUUGCAUGAAAAUACAUUAACGAUACUAAAACAAGUUACAUUAUGAACAUGUACUAUAAAGGCGAGCUGAAGCUUAAUGCAUUCUAACCUGAAAUCGUAAGGGCAGGAAGAUUUUCAUCAUGGUGCUUCACGGUACCUCGACUUUUUGUCUUAAUAUGCACCUUCUUAGUGUCCAGGAUCCUAGAGGAUGUUUGUUCACCAUUAGUGAUAUCACCGAGAGCCCUCCGUGGAACACUUUGCGUACCUGCUUGAUAAUUAUAGGUGUCGUACUCAUUCAUCUUCCGUUCACAAUCAUAUCGUUGGCAACAAAGGUAGUGUCUACAUUCGUCGUUGUGCUGAAAUAUAGAAUACUCGUACCCGAUAUGUCAAGGGCAGACAUAUUUUCAUGGAGGUGCUUGUUGGUGGCUUCCUCAUUUCUCUUUAUAUAACCACCAUGGCUAGGAGCUUUUAAAGGCUCUAUGUUUUCAUCAGCAUCAUGUUUGUUCUUACGAUACAAUGACUGUCUCCGCACGUUUAUUAGCUCCCUCUUGUCAUCUAUUUAUUGAAGGAGCAAGAUGUGAGAGUACUCAACGCAGGAACACAUUUUUUUAAUUGUUCAUUGGAUUGAUUAUAAAUGAAACAAUCUUACCAGACAUUGUAAGGGAAAGUUGAUAUUCACGCUGUAGUUUAUCUGCUUCCUCCUCUUUUUUCUUGUGAUAAGCAGCUCGUCUCUUGGCGUUUAUCUGAUCCCUUUUUUCAUCAGACAUGAUACCUUUCUUAGGUAGUUUGCAGACAUUAACGACAGAUCCUAUAGUCAUCUGCUCGGAUGUUGAAUCGGGUUGGGGUAAAACUUGAGCACUUGCAUUAAUGUACACGUGUCCUGUGACAUCUAUAGGAGACACAUCAAUAGCAUCUGGAACAACACAAAAGCAAUAUGAGUCUUGAACAUCUUGAACAAAACCUCAUCAAGCAUGAUACGGUUCACAACUAAAUAAUGAAUCGGCAGUACCAUUUACACUUUGUGCUACGACUGAUCCAGAAUCGUGUGUGAGACAACUGAGAGGCACAAACACAGAUUCAUUCCCCAUUAAUGAGGAGCAUGGUUUGUCUGCUUGAUGUAAAACUACCAGGUAGUGUCAAUAACAAGUCACUUUACUCCUAACCGAAAAGUGUCGAUUAUUAAUUAUGUGUAAUACUAACCUGAGAUCAGCUGGGAAGGCCGCUCAAAAGAUGUGAUAUCACGAUUAGUGGGUUGGGGAACAACCGGUUGUGGGGUCGUUCCAUCUGGCAUACUUGUCAUACUUGGGUAGUUAUCACCAUCAUGUGUCCCAUCCAACUUAUCUGCAACCACAUCAGCAAAUGAAACCACAAUCGGGAUAUAGGAAGAUAUGUGUAGCAAGUUUUAUAGAGCAACAUUGACCUGGAGGUACAUCUGAUGAUGCUAUAGUGUUAUCACCGAGAGCGCUACGUGGAACACUUUGCAUACCUGCUUGAUGAUUGAAGGUGUUGUACUAAUUUAUCUUCCGAUAACAAUCAUAUAAUUUGCAACAAAUGGUUUAAAUACAUUCAUCGUAUUGUUGUAAUAUAGCAUACUCGUACCCGAUACGUUAAGUGCAGGCAUAUUUUCAUGGAGACAUAUGUUGGAGGCAUUCUGAUUUUUCUUUUGAUGUCCACCUCGCCUCGGAGCUUUUAGUGGAUCCUUGUUUUCGCCAACAUUCUCUUUCUUCUUACGGUACGAUGCCCGUCUCCGUGCGUUUAUUAGCUCCCUCUUAUCAAAUACUGACACUACAAGAAACUUGUUAAUCCAUGACAGAUUUCGGAUGACGUCUUCGAAAACUGUCAUGAAUGGGCUAGUACAGCCCCGCAAGCCCGCUGAAGCCCGCCGAAGCCCGCCUAACCAUUCGCGUAUAAAGUGCUAACCCUAAGUCCCUCCUCUCUCUCCCUUCUUCGCAUCCCCCACUCGAUUCCCCCAUCUUCUCACACAACAUCGCCGCCACCCACCACCACUUCGCCUCGCUCCUCCCGCAGCUCGUCGCCGGCCCUUACCCUCCUCUCACCUUGCUACUCCAACAGCUUAUAGAUCCGCCGCAACCCCCACUAAUCCAUCUCUAUCGCGACCCAUCUAUCUCCCGCGAAUCAUCGCGCCGCCACAAACGUCUGCCGAUUCUGGCGACGUCCGACACCGUGCAACACAUUCACGAGCUUGUCUCCGCCCCCUUCGCCCUUAAGUCCGGCUAGAUCCGCUGCUCCCAGCCCCCGACGCUCACCCGCAACCCCUAGCCCAUGGCUAGGGUUUCGGCCGUGGCGUCGUGUCCGUCGAUGUCGCGUCUCCAGCGGCUCCUCUCCGUCGUGCAUCACGCCUCCUCACGCCCUCUCCCCCUCCUGGAUGGCGCCCCCUAGCUCGGUGCGCUCGCGUGCAUUGGGAUGGAUGGGAACGACGUGGACUCCCUCUUCCAGCAUCGUCCAUUAAGCUCUCCCGCCUUCCGGUAGUCCUGCUGCUCUGCUUGUUGGCCAGCUCAUCAACGACGGCCCUGCCAGCGCUGCCCUGGAUGGAUAGGGUGAGGCACCAGGUCGACAGGGCAAACAGGCAUGGCCCGUCCAUCGGUCUCAUUAUGUUGUACAUCGCCGAGGUCACCGCGCUCCAGGCCUCCAGCCACUUCCGGCCCUAGCGUGUCUAGUCCUUCAUUAACCUCUAUGGUGAGUCUAAGCCUCUCAUUUCUGAUCCAAGCCGCUUGCCUGUAGAUUGUGCAAAUGAAGCACUCAGUGAGUCUGGCCGUUCCUGGUUGAACUUUUGGGUUGUUUUCAAACAGCUAGCAGUGAGUGCUGAACUGCUGCUAACUGAACCCAGAUACAAACACACAACACAGAACAGAAGGGGGAAACAAGCAGAGAUGAUAUUGUAGUGUUAACACAAGAAUGGUGAACAUAAAUUUGAAAUUUUAUAGAUACCUGAAGCUGUGCGCACAGGGCAAAGCUUACUAGCUCUGCAAAUUGUGCACAAUCUGCAGUCACAGAAGGCCUGAAUUUGCUUUCUAGACCUGAAUGUAGAUUGACACAAUCACUCAUUUUGGAUAACAACUAUGGAAAGGGGGAGCAGAAAGCGACUAGAAGGAUAUCAUAUAAACAUGUCCAUGUUCAAAUUUAGUUUGUUGGGUGUACAUCAUCAGUUCUUUUUCUAAGAUUCUCAUGAUAGUGAUACUGUUUUUCUGUAGAUUUAUGCAAAAUGGUUGAAGCAUGUAGAAAUGAGGAGGUACCACGCUACUAGAUUGUGUUACUGUUUCAGUUUAUUUGAGUUAAAAGACACCCCCCUAUCCUUUACGCACUAACAGUUCACAUGCACAUAUCUUUUCAUGUGUGCAUUAUAGAUAGAGUCGCUUGUGAAAAAGAAAUAUGGGCAAGAGGCUUUUACAAUCUUUAGGCUAUUGGUUGUACAAGGUUGUGCAGUUGAGACAGAUCAAGUAACCACUCUUGUACAUUGAGGACAUUCUAGAACUAUACUCUGUUAUUAUUGUCAAUCUCUUUGGGUUAAGAAAGCUUCAGUUAUGCAGUAAAUUUAGUUGUGUGAUCCUGUUUUAUGAUUGUUCAUUUGAGGACAUGGCGACAUGUUACAAAUUGCAGUGCACAAUACUAAACAUUGGUUGCAAAUGUGCAGAUUACUGAGGCAACAAUUCUUGACAAGCAGAUUGUUCAUUCACCUUCGUACAAACUAUGGAAUGAUGGGCACUUUGAUACAGAGGUCUGUCUCCUAGUUUCCAUGAGAAAAGCAGUAUUUUUGUUUGGAGGGCAGAGAGAAUGGCAUGCUUUAAAUGUUAGUUGUGUGGUUUAUCUAAAAGAUAAUUCACUGUUUUUACGACCUACUAUUUUACUAUACCAGACCUGUAGCCCGUGUUAGCCUUACAAAUGCAUCGUGGAUUUAUGGUAUAUUGUGUUACUUUCAUCAUAAAUCUGCAUACAUGUAUUGUUGCCUAACACUUCGUCAUUUCUCAGGUUUCAGUUCUGUAGCCGAUGGACGGGCACUUUUUUUGGCGCAUGUAACAUUUCUAAGUGAUAGGUUGCUAUAUUAACCUCAAAUUUUGUUUUCCAAGUCUUUGCAUAACAAUUGAUAUGUUGAAUAAUGAAUAUAAUGGUUCUAUUUGCUUAUGUGUUUUGAUUCAACCGUCUCCUGGUGUUCAAGUGUGUUGAUUUGGCGUGUACCUUAAUAACCAUUAAGUAAAUACAUCAGCCAUGUAAUAAAUUAAAUUUUUAGUUCUUCGCAUCAUGGAUAUUGUUUGUUAGUGAUACCAUUUUGUUGGCGCAUAUACUCCAGAGUGCAAAAUCAUAUCUGCUGUGCAUUUCUGUAUCUUUCCAGAACCAAAAGAGAAAAAGAGAAUUGUACCUCUUCUUACUGCCUAAUAAAAGGGAAUGUAGUACCGUUUUACUCACUUCCAAAAGGUUUCUUGAUAUAUCAGGAAAAGGGAGUUACACUUUUAUAUAUUACUGGAUGUCGAUUUAAGUUCCACGGUAGCAUUUUGUCUUUCUAUAUUAUGGAAACAGUGUUCCUUGUCGGACAUAUUUCUUUAUUGAUGCAAAGUGUAUAUAUUAAUACAGUAUUGUUACGUUUGUUCUGAUUUCUUAAGCGGUGUUCUCAAAAUUCUUGAUGUUUGUUGUUUCUAGUACUCAUGAUGUGCUUGGAGAUUAUUUCCUUUCUCAGUUAUGUACAUGGAGAUUAUUUCCUUUCUCAGGUAUCCACUUAUCAGUGAGGAAGGUUGAUGAUGACAAAUUGAAUCAGUCCAAUGAUAGAAUUAUAGAGCCAAAGAACUAUGCUGGAGAUAUAAGAACUUGGAGUGUCAAUUCUUCAGGACCUUCGUCAACAACGGCAGUCACUACUGCAUGCUCACACUAUAGGAUCUGUUAUCAAAAUCGAGUGGUAGUGGUUCUAGUUCAUUAAACUAUUUUAAGUGCAGUAUAACUUUGAAAUUGUCUCCAGCUUGAAUAUUCAUUUAAUUAUUGUUUUCUCUACCAUUUAUAAUUUGCUUCCUCAAUUCCAAAUUAACUGAAUCUGACCAAGUUUAUAGAAACAUUUAUACCGUUAAUUUCAUUCGAUUCAUUGUAAGAUAUAUUUUUGUAAUAUAGUGUCCACCUGGCUGUUAUUGAUAUUGUAGUAUAUAGGUUUACCUAUGCCUCAUGAGUGAUGUUCAAAUCAUGUCAAAUAAAAAUGAUGGUUCAGAUGAUAAUACCUACUAUUGUUGUUGUUGUAAUAAACUUGCCAUUUUGUAACAGAAGCAUAUUGUUAUGUACAGGUUGCCUUGGUGGUGAGAGCCGCAAAGGAAGUUUGAGUUGUAGAGGUGAAGUUGAUGAUUAAGAGGGCCUGUGCAAUGUUGUAUACUUGUUGAUGUAAUCUGGUGUAGUUGUUAUUCAGGUUAAGUGAAUUGAUGUUGGAUGUGUUCUUCGACACAUUUUAAAAGGCCUUUACUCAGUGAAACAAUUGAAUAGAAAUUUGUGAAAUGGAACAGAAUAUGGUCUAUUCAAUGGAUAUUAAUUAUGUUAUGAAAGCAUGUUUGAUUAUCUAUGGGUUGUGCCAUAGCUGUUUGGCUGAAUAUCAUGGGCUGGAUUAAAAUAAAUGGGCUAAACUGCCACAAAUAAUUGGGCCGAAGGCUACUCUGGGGAUGCCACGUAAGAUCCACGUAGGUCCAUAUUUGGUACAGUCUUGUCAAUCCAUGACGGACUAGUCUGUCACAGAGGACCGGGCCUGGGGCGGGCCUGGGACAGAUCGGUGACGGCCAGGAUCCGUCAUGGUGGUGCAGUUGUCAAAUUAUGACGCGAUAUACAUGACGGAUUAUAAAUCCGUCACGGGCCCCCCUCCACGAGGUUUUGUACUGGUCCAUGACAAACUGAAUCUGUCAUGGAUUAACAAGAUUCUUGUAGUGUGAUUGAAACAUCAAGAUGUGAGAUUAGUGAACCUAGGAAUAAACAUUGUAAUAAUUGUUAAUUGUAUUGAUUAAAAAUCAAACAAUCAUACCAGACAUUGAAACAGAAGGUUGAUAUUCAUGCUCUAGUUUGUCUGCUUCCUCAACUUUUUUCUUCCGAUAAGCAGCUCGCCACUUGGCAUUUAUCUACUCCUUUUUCUCGUCAGAUAAGAUAACAAUCUUAUUUUGAUUGGAGACAUUCAAGAGAGAUCCUGUAGUCAUGUGCUCGCAUGUUGAAUCGGAAUGGGGUAAAACCUGAGCGGUUGCAUUAAUGUAUACUUGACUUAUUCCAUAUGUAUGAGACACAUCACGAAUCUCUGGAACAACACAAAAGCAACAUGAUUAUUGUACAUAUGCAACACAACCUAUUCAGCCAUGAUAAGGUUCACAACUAAAGACGAAUCAUGUAAUACCAUUUAAACUUUGUGGUACGGCUGUGUCAGACGCGUCUGAGAGACAACUGAGAGGCACAAACGAAGCGUCAUUCAAUAUGAAUGAGGUUGUUGGGUUCUCUGCUAGUUGUAAACAUAACCGAUAGUGGACAUAACAAGUCAGUUUACUCCUAACCGAAGAUCGUCGAUUAUUAAUUAUGUGUAAUACUCACCUGAGACUAGGUGGGAAGCCUGCUGAACAUAUGUGAUAUCACCAGCAGUGGUUCCGUGCACAUCCGGUUGUGCAUUCUGACUUGAUGAGGACCGAUCUGAAGUUGGUUGGUACAAGUGAAUGAGAUACAAUUAAUCACAUUAAGGCAACAAAAUCAUGAGUACUCUCUCCGCACAGACUCAUACCGUGACUAAUAGGGUAUUUAUCAUCAAGCAUUUCCCCGUCCAUGUCAUUUGCAACAACUUCAGUACUCACAAUAUCAGUAUGCGGCACAAACGGCUGCGGGGUGGAUCCAACUGGCAUACUUGGCAUAUUUGGGUAGUUCUCAACAUCACUUGUCCGAUCCAACUUUUCUGCAAACACUUCAGUACAUGAAUUCACAAUCGGGAUAUAGCCUGACAUGUAUAGAAAGUCUUAUAGAAAAACGUUUACCUGGAGGUACAUCCGACGUUGUCACAUGAUCCGCUGCUUUGCUUUGUGGAUUCCCCAUACGUACCUAUAGGCACAGAUAUUGUGCUCUCUGAGAAAUGCUACUGCCAAGUUUCUUCUUGUUUUCUUCCUGUUCUGCAGAUAUUUCCAGUGGAUUAGGGUUGGCAACCAAGUACAAGAUUGUGAAGGUACAUCCUAUUCCUUUGUAAAUUAACUAGUGUUACAAAUGGUGAAAAUAGGUUAGUCAUCAGAAAUUUAUUACCGAGGGAUCAUGACAUAACAUGCAUGUUACAUGUUGUAUAACUUCAUUGUUGAUGACCAUCUUUAGGGCUAAAAGUACACUGAGGGAAAAAAAUUACCAUUGCACGCAACCCUGGUUUACAGAACAUUGACUUCUACAAUUUUUUGUUCAAGAUACCCCCUUUUUUUUAAUCAGUUUUAACGUGUCUUUAAAAAUUAAAAUGAACUUGGAGCUGAUUCAUAGUACUUACAUACAAACAGUUCAUUCAUUAAAUUAUAUUUGGAAAGUGACUAAUGCCAUUAGAUUGUUCUGCACAAACCGACUAAUGCUGCAUCAUUGCUUACGAUUCCAUUCCGGCAUAUGUGCCAUUAACAAAGUGGCUCACAGAUUACAAUUUCGGAUACAGCUUGCUCCAUUAUGUGCCAUUGACAAUUGCUUGUGGAGGGUAAUAAGGUUAUCGCUAGCUUAUAUAUGUGUCCAAGUUCAUUUGAACUGAGUGAUUUUUCCUUGUCUGUAGACCAACACUUCUGGAAAAGUAAGAAGAACAUGCAGCACAAGCAGAAGAAGCAGCACACUAAGCAGCACACUAAGUAAGUACAAGCAAAACAUGCUCCUGUUGGUGACAACAUGCAUGAAAUUGUAUGGCAAAUUGCAUAAACAGAUCGUCAUGCAGUUCAUGUAUGGAAUUAACAGCUCCUAUGCGAAUCUGUGCAAAUUUUCAUAAACACGUCUUUGUUUUGUGCCAUGCAGUCUGGAUGUCUGGCCACCCAUGCUCCAGGAAAGGAUGAUGGAUUUAUGUGCACAAUGCGCGGAUCUGUUGGAUCACUAAGAACCGCUAUGAAAAUUAGUAAUGUGCGAUGCUCAAGGAUAUAACAAGUUGUAGUAGCAAAUAUGAAGAUAGCCGAUAUGGAUGUAUAUGCACUGUAAGACCUGUGUUGUAAUACGCACGCAUGAAUUGGGACCCAAGCCGGCAGAGACGAUGUGGAAUCACCGUCUGAUCCUGGGCGUGGUCGCCGGCGACUCCAAAACGGGAACGCCUCGCCGUCUGCUGAAUCGACCUUGAAGCAGAUGGGCGGCGGCGGCGGCGAAGGUUAGGAUCGGCUGCGUCACAGGUAUGGAUGUCCGGCGGGGGCGAAGGGGUGGUUUGGGGUUGCGAAGGGAUGGUUGGUGACGGCAGGAGAUCUGAUCUGGGAAGGAGGCAUCGAACGUAGGGUUUUUUUCGCUAUUUUUUUCGCUGGAGGGUUCUGAGCUUACGUGCGUGGGAUGAUAGACGAAAAUAAACCAGCGAUAUGACGGAGGUGGGAUGGUAGAGGAAAUAAAACCAGCGAAAGAAACCGGCGGACUAUUCACCAACUGCUCUAUUAGGAGUAGAGAUAUAGCUUUCUUCCAGUAUACAACCUUGUGAGCCAUCAAGCCAGACAUGCCUUUUUCAGGCUGAAUUGUCUAUAUCAUACAAUCACCGUUCAGGUUGGUUCUCCCGAGUAUUGAUUUAUAUUAGCACAACUUUCUACUUGCAUGAUUGGGUGCAUUGGAUGCAUGUAAGUGUCGAGUUAAAAAUCGAAGCUCGUGACUCGGUCGAACUCGCCGAGUUUUAAUCUAAGCUCAUUAAAAAAACGAGCUUAACGAGCCAAGUUAAUGAGUUAUUCAUUUAAGUCGUUAAGCUUGUCAAUUAGAAGGCACAUUAGAUAAGCCAAGGUGCAUUGGUGGACGUAGUGUCACGCGAGGUCUAUAUAUUCACCAUCCACUACGGCCGUGAUUCAUGUUGUAUUCAUACUACUCGUCAUGUAUAUGCACUUCUUAGGAUGAAGUAUUCCUAUAUAAACAACUUGUAUUCCGAGCGUCAAUUAGUGACCAUGGCCCAUCAUGCUGACAAUAGGAGUUAAUCUCAUUUAUUUGGAAAGGAUGCCACCAGCAGUGUGCAUUUUCUCGCCAAUCCAUCUCCAUCCCGCAUCUCCUCCAAUACUAACCCCUCCUCUAGUUUUUGUUAGUGUGUUCAUGUGCUCUUCCUUAUCUACUUAUCUCUUUCAUUCUGUUUCUAAAUCUUUUUUUAGAAAAGGAGGAUUAUCCCGGCUUCAUUCUGUUUCUAUACCUCUCGAUCCUUGGGUUUCCAAGCUAAUGUUGAAGAACACACUUCGUUGCCUCGCCGGAGCAGGUCGGCAUCGCAACCUUAUGCCCAUGGUUGUUGAGAACGUGCAACAUCAAAAUUUCCUGGUUUAUUGCCACCAUGAGUGGACCUUUCACUUUCCACCUCUCCCCAAAUUACGUGCUCCAUAAAGUAUCAUCUCAAACUCCGCACUUCCACACCUCCCUACCGUCAACAUGAAUCCAUUUUGCCCUUUGCAAGCUCCAUUAUCUGCUAAUGAUGUCACAUGUGUGGGAAAGAGGGAAAGGAAGGGGGUGUGGAUGAGGUUGAGGAUGUCACUUCCAUGGAUAAAAGUAGUAUUAGGGCCCGUAUAAGAUCAUGCAUUGGUACCACGCUGUUGACUAAGCAGAGUUAGAGCAUGUCCAGCCGUUGGCACCCCCAAGAACACCACCGAACCAAACAAAUUGGUGUCUUGGGGGUCAUCCGGCGAAAUAAAGAGGGCAUCUUCCCAGUCACACCCCAUCACAAGCAAAAGUUUGAGCGUCGCGGGGUUUUGGCUGGGUUUGUCGGCGCUAUUUUGACGUCCUGGGGGGCGCUGGGGGCGUGGCUGGGCCGUUUUUCGGCGAGAAGCGCCGUCCNNNNNNNNNNNNNNNNNNNNNNNNNNNNNNNNNNNNNNNNNNNNNNNNNNNNNNNNNNNNNNNNNNNNNNNNNNNNNNNNNNNNNNNNNNNNNNNNNNNNNNNNNNNNNNNNNNNNNNNNNNNNNNNNNNNNNNNNNNNNNNNNNNNNNNNNNNNNNNNNNNNNNNNNNNNNNNNNNNNNNNNNNNNNNNNNNNNNNNNNNNNNNNNNNNNNNNNNNNNNNNNNNNNNNNNNNNNNNNNNNNNNNNNNNNNNNNNNNNNNNNNNNNNNNNNNNNNNNNNNNNNNNNNNNNNNNNNNNNNNNNNNNNNNNNNNNNNNNNNNNNNNNNNNNNNNNNNNNNUUAUAGUCUCGUUUUGUGUUGAGCAACUUGCCAAUGACAACCUUUGUUACGAAGAAUAUUUGCAGAUGAUCACCUGUCCCGCCAACUUUCUCCAGCCGUAACAUUAGCUCCUUUUAAUAGAUUAUAUUGGUUGUGUGUGUUGAAGUAGCUACCCGGCCCACAAAAAUGUGAUAUGUUAAUGUUUUGGUCCAGAUUCUGGCACACAAAAAAUAUUCUAAAUGUUCGUUCUUGUUGUUGUUUUAGACUCAACAUGCGUUAAUGUUUAAGUAGCAAAAUCCUGUGAGCAUACAAUUGGGCACUCGUAAUCAUGACGUACAGAAUUACUUGAUUUUGCUAAUACGAAACCUAGCUAGUCUAAACAGGCACCAACAAUGGUCAAGAGGAAAACAAAAAUCAAAUGCUAUCGUAAUCACAUGAUACCACGCUGUCAUUGAGUGAACUAUGAAGACGUGGUGCCCCCACCCCAACCAUGCAUUUAAACAAACUGCAUCACUCUAUCCGCAACAUUUAUUAGUGCCUCUCUCCUGCAUAUGUUGUACUUCCUCCGUCCGGAAAUACUUGUCAUCAAAAUGGACAAAAAGGGAUGUAUCUAAAACUAAAAUACAUCUAGAUACAUCCCCUUUUAUUCAUUUUGAUGACAAGUAUUUCCGGACGGAGUGAGUACUUCAGACAUGUAUUUAAGCAAGAGGACAAACACGCAUGCGUACAAAAUUUAUGAGACAUGGCUCACGCCUGGACGACAUAUUUCGUGUGCUUAUUCUCAUUCAGAAAUAAGGAUGACGGUCACUCCCGGGCGCUCUCAGAGUUUAGUCGAUUCUGGCCGUCCGAUCCGUUUGCUUGAUGCGUUCUUGUCCGUCGGAUCGAUCCCUCGGAUGAUCUGGGCCGCCGGAUCAUAACCGAGCCCCUGUAGCAAUGAACAGUGUCACUUCGCUGUAAAUAUCUGCUGCCACCGCCGGUUAAUACUGCACCCCGCCGAGGACAAUUUUGGGAUUUCACCUAGGCCGGUGGAACGUGCCCUUUCCCGAUUCGCUGCCCUCUCCCCAAUUGAAGAGACACGUAGGGUUCGACCUCUCCUCGCUUCUCUCCCGCAUCUCUCUCUCUCUCUCUCUCUCUCUCUCGCAGUCGUCGCCGCCGCCAGCCAUCCUCCUAAUCGCCCCCUUCCCCCCGUCAUCUCUCACUCACUCCACCCCUCUCACAGUCAUCGCCGCUAGCCAUCUCGUAGGAUGGAGACGCUGGCCGCCUCCAUCUCCUCUAUGUCGCCGUCUGACCCAGAUGCGGCCGCAGUCUGCCGGCGCCGCAGGCGGAGGAGACGCGCCUAGGAGGAGCUUUCUUCAUCACACGCGACAGCCGGCGUAGCUCUGCCUCCCACACCCCCAUCGUCUCCGUCACACCCGAUCGCUGUACACGGAGGGGGAGGAGUGGUGGCCGGCAGGGAUCUACCUCCUUCAUCCAGGUGGAGGCGUUCGGCGGUGGCCUGGCCGUGGCGUUCGAGUCGGCGGACCCGUACGGGGACUUCCGGGCGUCGAUGCAGGAGAUGGUGGACGCGCACGGGGCCGACGGCUGGGGCUGGGGCUGGCUGGAGGAGAUGCUGGGGUGGUACCUGCGCGCCAACGGCAAGGACACGCACGGCGCCAUCGUGGCAGCCUUCGUCGACGUCAUCGUCUCUAUCGCCGACCCCGGCCGCGGCUCCUCCUGCUCGUCCCAGAUCUCCUCCUGCGCUUUCGUGGACGGGGAUGAGUAAACUAAUCUUACUUCCGUGGCAUGGUUAAUGUGGUGAGAGUGAACUUUGCCGAGCUAGCUAGCUAAUGAUGGCGGAGUGUGGUAGAUGAGUGAGAGGGAUGCGGCGUCGAGGUCCGAGGGGCGGCGGCGGCGGCGAUGUGGGUGGGUUGCUUUGCCUUGUGUUCAGGAUGAUUUGCCUCAUUGCUCUCUGACCAUCACCUGGUUCAUCUGUGAUUUGGCAGGGAAAAGAUAAGGGAUGAGAGGCAUGCGCCUGAGCAGGUGGAACAAUACAAGCGCCUCAGUGACCCGUCAGUCUCCAACAAGGGUUUUGAACUAAAUGCUCAUCAGAUUACCCAGGUUUGGUUUUAUUGUAUGGGUGCUCUGUUCUUUAAUUUGCAGAACAUGUUUGAAAAAUGUUUCGGCCUUCACGGAUUAGUGUAGUACCCUAACCGUCGCAUAAAAGUGGAAGAAAGUAAGUGCAGUACCAUAUUAUAAGCACUGUCAAGUUAACUGCAUUGCUCGUUUGGUUAUUGCUUUGAGGGAGUCAUUCUUCACGGAUUGCCCGGUACCAGCCAAUAUUAAACGCCCUUGUGUAUCUGAAUUGCCACACGGUUGUGCUAGAUAGUACUACAUUGGAUGUUUAUGUUUGAUAAUUGAGUUGUACUUUUCAUACAUAUCUGUUGGUAGAGCCGUUCUUACUUCAUUCAAAGGCUUGAAAUGCUACCGUUGCAAUGUUCUCCACAAGAUAAGGAUAUUUUUUCUGAGGUCAAGUAGGCACAGGGAAGUAUUAGCAUCAAAUAUCCGGUGUGGCAUGUUGUAUGCAUGGAGGGUACACCAUCAAGAUGUCUAUAUGUUGCAAAAGCAAAGAUACAUAUCAUGCUUGGAGAGUUAUCUCUUCCGCUAUGCUUUAAAUUGGCGGGUUACUGGGACUUAAACCUCAAAUUGAAAAGACUCUCGGGACUACCAGGACCUUUUGGUAUAAUGCAUGAACCCAACUUCCCAAAAAGCACCUUUAACUUGAACAAAUGUUUUUGGAAGGAGCAAUUUUUUCUUCCUGUAACAGGAGAUUGGGUUAAUCUCCACCAUCAUCGACAGGGAGAAAUCAACGGAAUCAGUUGUUUUGUGACUGAUUCCAUCGCAUCUCUGGUGUACACGAUUUUGAUUUCUGAACAAUGUCAUUGUGUAGGUAUUGUCCAAUUAAACGAAGUGUAUAACUCCAGUCGGCAAAUGUGACAUUAGGAAUUAGUAUUACGCAAUAGUUGCUGACGAUUUUGGUUAAGCUGAUCAAUCCUGUUGUCUGUUGGUGUUGGAGGUCAGGUCAGCCAUCAGCAGGGGUUGUUUUCCUGUGUUAUGAUCUGAUUGCUCGGGAGGUGUACACUAGAGGACAUGUUCACCACUGAUAAUUCAAUGGAGUGUGUAGACUGAUAUAGUACCUACUACCUACUCAAAGGAGGAAAGGUCUAAGUCCCAGGUGAAUCUGUGCUUCUUUUGAACCUUCUCUCUCUAGCAUAUCCCUUUGUUUCACCAAACUGUUGUAGUAUGGGGAUUAUCCUAACAAGAGCACUUUUAUUUUUGUCACAGAUUUAUAUGGGUAAAGUUUUCGCAGUUAAUAAGUUGUUCCAAAGAGUGCUUAGCCUGAUGCUUUGAAGAUCAAGUUUCAGUGUGGCUUCCAUUGUUAGAUCAGUUUGAGUUUCUGUACCAAGUUGAAAGCCUAAUGCUCCAAAUGGUACAUUCUAAUUUUAUAACUAUCCCUUAUUUUCUUAAUCUGUAAAUGACAAACCACCCGUAUGCUCUCCAAAUUCAGGGUAAAACUGAACCUAAAUUCAGAUAUAUUUUGAUGUAAUCAUAUAUUAGUUGCAACUAGAUUAUAUGAGCAUAUCAGACUAUAUGGUCCCAUAGACCUUUAGAAGUUGUUGAUAUUCUCUAUUUUUGGCCACAUCAUUUCUGUAAAAAUAGUAGACUGAAGCUUGUAGUGUCAAACAGAGUUGCUAUUGUAUUGAUGCCUUGGAUUGUUGUUAAAUCAAGUAAUGCAGCUGAAUUUGUAUGCUACAUGUUAAUCUUGCUCUUUGAUAUUUGUUCACAAAUUGUUUACUUGAUGCUUGAUGGCAACUGCUAUUCUUACAAGACUAUCAAUCUGAGAUAUUAUCAUAACUCGGAAAAAUGAGAUGUGCACAUAUGUUUAUAUUUUGAUUUACUAAUGGUUUCCUUGAUGUGAAUGUUUUCUUGCAUUAUCUGAUUUCUAAUCUGCAGUAAAUGUGACACAAGUUUAUCAUUUCUCAUUGUAUGGAGUGAACCAAGACAGCAACUAGCUGGACGUGGAAGUGUUGUUCCUGAAGGUACUGAAAUUGGAGCGGACUUCUCAGGCUCAAUUAUCGUUUUUGUACUGAGUAGUUGCAUGCAUAACGAAGUUAGAUGUUUGAACUAUGAAUCUGUUUUGCAUGAGAAGUAUGAGGUUGUGCUUGAGGAGAUGGCUUCUCUAUUAAUUUAUUUUCUCCCUGAAGGUAAGUACAGUGUGCAAUACUCUCUAUCUUUUGGAGGAUAACAAAAAACCAACUUCAGUACUCUCUUAAGACAACCAUGUGUAUUAUACAUGGCUCGGACAUGCUGGCGGAUGUGUAGUUUAUAUUGGAAAGGCAUCAUGAAGGUGAUGUAGAUGUUUUUUUAAAUAAUCUGAUAUCUUUUGGUUUAAAUCACAUAGCACACAGGUAUUCUGCUAGCUAUAUAAAAAUAGUAACAUUAGAACUAGACGUAUAUUCUCUUUAGCUACGCCCUCUGUCCCAAAAUAAGUGUCUCGACUUUGUACUAAAGUUGAGACACUUAUUUUGGGAUGGGGGAAGUACAUUAUUAUAGUAGUUGUAAAUACUAAAUAGAAAACUUUCAAGUCUUUCAUUUUUUCCAAACUAUUCAUCGUAUGAGACAUAACAAAAAGCAUUUGAUCCAUUGAUGUGCAAUACCAGACUCUAUACUAACUUAUACUUUUGCUCCACAUAAUUAAACCUGUCAAUAAUCAAUCUACUCUGUAAAAAUGAAGGCUUGCAACUAUUAUAUGACAACAAUGUUGUUUUUGGUACAUUCUCCUUCAGUUAUGUGUUUCGAUUCUAAUUUGCUGGUUUACAAAUCUUAUUUAUUUGUUUCUUUGUCAAAUGAAGUAUGAGUUGCUAUGUAACAUUAAAAAAACUCUGUUUAUCCAGUCCUUUGUUGUGAUGUAUUUGUAGCAUGAGAUGUCGGAUUCAAAGCAACAAGGCGACUAAAGGAUGGGGUUAUGGCAAGGAGGCACACACAUGGAUGAUCGGUGAGGUCACUAGAGCUUAUGAGAGCGGAAUGGAUUCUGUCGCCACGAUGUUGAAUGGGAUGUGCACCACUGUUUUUGUACCUAUAUUAAAGUAUAUUUGUGUGAUGAGCAGCUACAGCUUGUGUUUGCAAAUAUGUUCCUUUUUAGCUUUAACCAUUUUUUGUGAAGAGAAUAUUUUGUAAACCAGUGCAAACUUUGCCUAAAUUACCAUCCAUUUGGCAAAAUGUUAAAGCAGAUUAGAUCAGUCCUCGCAAUAAUCAUUGGAGUUAAGUUUCAAUCCAUUUAUUCUAUAUGUCCUCUUCAGUACCUUUCGUGCCAAGGGGAAGUGUUUGUGUGCACUCCGGAUACUAAUGCUAGAUGUUCUCUUCAAGAGCAAAAUUAAAAUGAUUAUAUUUGGACAUUUGACCUUCGAAUGAUAUGCUUAUUGGAAAUAGUAACGUACUUAGUUAUAUCUGAAUUAAUGCAAUUGUUGUUCCAUGGCGACGCACUUAUUAGUAUACCAAAUAGCUAUGACCUUAUAGUUUUACCGUCUCUACUGUCAUUGUGUUUGGAUUUUCCUUUCUUAUUAUGUUUCUACUUUAGUACUUGCUCUCUCAUGUUCAUGCUCUUAGUACUCAACAUAAUGCCAAUAUAAGUUUUUAUGUUUUCAUGAAUGCACUGGACACGAUGCGGCCUUAUAAUCUCACGACCAUAUUGAACUUCAUGAUGUCUUGCUUUUGGUACAGCUGAAUAUUUUUUUUCUUUUUCUUGAACCAGAGAAUUCGUUGUCCUGUUGAAUACGUGCCCUAAACAAUGUUUCCUACUAACUUAUCAUUAUAUGCUUGACCCAAACGUUGGGACCGGCACCCUCGCGCCAAGGCGGGGUACCGAUCUAGUGUACUAUAUGUCAAGCACAUGGACUGUAUUCCUAAAAUCCCUAUAUUAAACCUGAAUCUCAUUGCUUGAGCCCGCGGUCCAUCUUGUGACACCCCACGGAACCAUGCCCUAAAAAUCUGCGUCCAUUAGAUAAGAACCAAUAUUGUUGUCAUUUAUGGUGUGUACCAUGUGCCCCUCUGGUGUAAAUUACCGAUUGUUAUGAUGUGUGAAUAGAAAUAGAUAUUGCAUACGCAAUACAUAUACCGUGUACAUGUUUACAACGAGUUAAAUGACCUAACAUGCAAGUUAAAGGAGCUCUUCCUAGUCGAGCUGAGCUGGCCUGACUCGGCUUCAAUUCCGCUACAAAGGAAUAGCAAAAGGUCACUUGGCAUAUUUAUAUCGGUGGGCACAUGGAGAACUCGAACACGACCAAGUGUGAUGUGCUCCCUGACGAAGUGAAUGUCGAGCUCAAUAUCCUUCGUCCGUCGGUGAAGGACAGGGUUGGCAGUGAGGUACACCGCAGAAACAUUGUCACAAUAGACAAGUGUAGCCUUGGUGACCUCACAUAGCAACUCCUGAAGUAGUUGUCGUAGCCAAGAACACUCCGCAACGGCGUUGGCCACUGCCAUGUACUCAGCCUAUGCGCUCGAUCGUGAGACCGUGGGUUGUCUCUUAGACGACCACGAAAUCAUAGAAGGCCCGAGGUAGACACAGUAGCCGGAAGUGGAACGUCGAGUGUCUGUACACCCAACCCAGUCGGCGUCGGAGUAGGCGACGAGGCUAGUGUCAGGUGAUGCCGUCAGGGUGAGACCCAUAGCUAUGGUUCCAUGUAUGUACCGGAGAAUACGUUUCACCAGAGCCCAAUGUGUAUCACAAGGAGCAAGCAUAUGAAGGCACACCUGCUGGACAUCGUACUGAAUGUCCGGACGUGUCAGUGUGAGGUACUGAAGCGCACCGAUGAUGGAGCGGUAGAAGGGAGCGUCGGACGCCGGAGAACCCUUGACGGCGGACACCUUAUCCUUCGUGUCGACAGGCGUAGGAGCAGGCUUGCAGUUAAGCAUGUCCGCUCGCUCCAGAAGCUCGUAGGCAUACUUCUGAUGGUGCAGGAAGAAGCCAGUGGCCCGGCGCACAACCUCGAUGCCGAGGAAGUAGUGGAGAGCCCCCAAGUCCUUGAGAGCGAACUCGGUGCCAAGACGAGUUGUGAUCUACUGAAGGAGCGUUGGCGAGGAUGCCGUCAGGAUGAUGUCAUCGACAUACAAGAGGAGGUACGCGGUGGCGGUGCCCUGGUGAAAAACAAACAAGGUGGCAUCAAACCGUGUGGACCGGAACCCCUGCUGCUGAAGGAAGGCUGCUAUCCGCUGGUACCAGGCCCGAGGCGCCUGCUUUAACCCAUAGAUAGAACCAGAGAGCAAGCACACGUGGUCCGGAUGGUCGGUGUCGAUGAAACCAGUAGGCUGUUGACAGAACACCUGCUCGUCGAGAUGGCCAUGCAGAAAGGCAUUAGACACAUCGAGCUGGUGACCUGGCCAGGCGCGAGAAAUAGCAAGCUGGAGGACAGCGCGAAUCGUGCCCGGUUUGACAACCGAGGCAAAGGUGUUAGUGAAGUCCACGCCGGCACGCUGGCAGAAGCCGCGCACCACCCAACGCGCCUUGUAGUGCUCGAGAGAGCCAUCGGGGCGAGUCUUGUGGCGGAACACACACUUGCCAGUGAUGACAUUGGCACGGGGAGGCCGCGGGACAAGCUGCCACAUAAGGUUGCGCUGCAGGGCUUCAAACUUCUCAUGCAUCGCGGCUAGCCAGGUCGGAUCCCGAAGGGCUGCACGAGCGGAGGUGGGGAGCGGAGACGGUGCCGAGGUAGACGCAGCACACGUGUACUCGUCAGACGGGUAGCGCGUGCUAGGACGAAGUGUCCCAGUCCGAGCCCGAGUGACCACACCGGCACUACACCACAACACUACAUCCCUGACAACUAUGUUGGACGGGAAAACAGCUUCCACCGAUAGAUAGUCGGUCGGGAAAGACUAUUGCCGACCGACUAUGUCUGUUGGGGAAAGUCCAGACGGGAAAAGCCUUUCCCGACCGACAUAUCUUUCCCGACCGACUGUUUGUCACCUAUGGUGUAACUUUCCCGACCGACAGUCUGUUGGGCCUACCAUGGGCCUUUCCCGGCCGACAGUCUGUUGGGAAUUGCCAUGAGCCUUUCCCGACCGACUAUCUGAUGGGGUUGUAUUCCCGACCAACAAUCUAUAGGGCAUGCCAUGUGCUUUUCCCGACCGACUAUCUGAUGGGGUUUGUUUUCCCGUCCAACUUUUUGUUGGCCCUGGCAUUAGCUUCCCUAAACGACUUUCAGACAUGGUUUUUUUCCAACCAACAUCCAGUAGCCCUCCCAUAGCUUACAUUUGCACUACCAAGAAAAUAUCAAUCAAGACAUUUCAUAACAAUAAUGUGCAUGUCCUCCAGCAAUAAUAAACCAUUACCAGACAACAAAAACACAUAUUAAUUAAUUUCACAUGUAAAUACUUCAUCCGUUAUCAACAUAAUGACUUUCAAAAUUUCCCAUAAGCUAAUAUAGCUAAUUAACUGGACGAAACAUUAUGGUUCAUUGUCUCAAACACAAUGUGGGUUUACAAAAUGAUAGAUAAAAUUCAUCACCAAUGAUUCAAUCACCACUACACAAAAUAUCCUGAACCGCCGGCUUUAUGGUUCCUCCUCCGCUUGCAUGUCUUUCCUGCAAAAUGUAAAGAAGUUGCCAUUACAUUCUUACAUUCAUAAAUACAAUGUACCAUAAAAAUUGGAUAAAGCAUAGCAUUGACAACAGCUAUUACUUCACAAGGCAAGCAAGUACCAAAAUACCUACUCAAGAAGGCACUCCAUUCAAGUAUAGGUAACCACUAGAAGUAGACGCAAGCCUUGCCACACUGCUUUUCAUUGUGGACCCGCUUUUAUCUCUCUUAUUCCUCACGUUCGAUGACUCAAUGCACAUAUGCAUGCUGCUCGUACUUAUGGCCAUGGUGCACAUAUAUAAGGCACUCGUGACAAAACUUCAAGAACAUCAUAGAUUACUUUAUUCAAAUAGAAUAUCAUGAAGUUUGUUUAUUGAGUGCUACACUUUAGUGUGCUCAGUGGAAAAAAAAAUUACAGUAGAAAACGGAAAAAAUGCACACCUGAUCCAAGUCACAUCAUGAUUUUCUGGGAGAGCUUACCACCAUGGGGGAAUGGUUAUAGAAAAACCUGAGACUUGAAGAUUUCUUUCCUUACCUGAUCAUCACCAAUUUCCAAUAAUAAAUUAACUAUGGAAACAUAAUACAUGUGCAACAUUAGUAAGCAAACCAAUUUAGGACAGUGUGAGGAAAGUGCAAACAUUAUUCUUUAUCUGCCACAGCAAACAUUAUUCACUGGAGCUAGAAUAAGGUAGAAAAUCCCCAGGAUACAAUUGGAAUUGGUUCCUGCUUGACUACUACUACAAUACUUCCAGUACUUCCAGUUUACCUGGGAGGUAUGAUGAACAAAUUUCUCAAUACUUACCAUGCUUUGAUAAAAGCUAAAUGCAAUGUUCAAAAGGAAAUUCUAGUGAUAGAGUAAUAUCAAAACAUGAAAGUACCAACUAAAAUACCCAUGCGAUUUGACAUAUAUAAGUUGCCCUUUCAUAUUGGCCUUUAGAAAGGACAAAUGAUACCAGAUGUGGCAUACAAAUGACUAAAAAAUAAAAUCAUAUUCCCAGAUACUAUGCUACUCCAGUAUCCAGGUGGCAUGUAAGCCACUAUGUAACUGGCAAAGACAAUUGAGAAUUCAGAUGAGAGAUAUUGCCACAUUGGCAUGAGAGGAAUUAAUCAUUCAAUGCAACUAAAUUUCAGAAAAAGAAGUUAUUAAGCAGAGACAACGGAGCUUGGAUAUUACAUUAAUACAUAGAUGAAUCUUCCUUGCAACUUGCUUGGAUUUUCAUCGACCUUGUAUGCAUAGGUAAGAGAGAAUCUGCACAAACAAAGAUUAGAGAUUCGGGGGAUUAAUGAAAAGAGAGUAGUACGAUAGAGAGAAAGUGGACAAAUCAGUAGGAAGUAGGAAUAGUAGCACACCUAGUCCUAAAAAAUAGGGACCGGCCUCACUGAGGCAUGGAGCUGCUCGUGGUAACAUAGCAGCGGAGUUACUUAGUUGAAUAACGUACGUGGGGAAAAAUAUUCCACGGCUAGCACAAAACCUGUGAAGUAUGAAGACAACACAAUUACAUCUACAUGAGGAGCAGGCUGCGAGGUUGGCGGUAUUUACCACGGUGACUUUCUAUAGGUCAGGCUUCUAAUAGUGGCCCACCGAAAAGUUAUAAGCUCUGUGCACAAAAAAAAAAAAACAGGGACAAGGAACCAUUUACGAAAUGCUGCAUGUAUUUCCUAUGUAACAAAGAAAUAAUAGGAAACUGGAGAUGUGUUUAUUGGACUAGCACAUAGUUCUAUAUGCUAGUCAGAAGUAAGUGAGGGCGUUCUACAUUGUUUGCUGUAUCACUGCACUAGGACAUCAAAACAAAUGACAAAGUUAAAGAUUAUGUUUCACUUUGUCAUUCAACUUGAUGACAACAACUUGUACAACUAAAAAAUAUCAGGUCGUUAACAGCAGAUGCUUUACUUAACUAUAGCUUGUUAAAAAUAAAGCUAAAAGUCUGCACAACCAUGCAUACUUUUGUAUGCUAAAAACCCUUAGAAGAAUAAUAUAGAAUAUUGAAUCCCUGAUUCUCAACUGAACAUUUACUAAAUGCAUUGUAAGAAUCUGGCAAGCCCUUGUAGUACUUCUCCGUAUGCCUACAUGCAAGUGUACAUAUGCAACGCGUUACAUCAGAUAUCAGCAAGUACUAACAUCUAAUCUAAGAUGUUUAACAUAUGGGGUGUUGUACCUAGGUGUAUCCAUCGAAUCUUUGUCCAUGCUAGUUGCACCUGCACACAUGAUUAAUAGUGAAUUUAAAUGCCUCACACACUGUCCACACACAAAAAAACUAGAAAUUUCAAAAUGUGAAUAGAACUAUGAAACUGAAACAAAAAUCAAAAUCAAACCCUUUCUAUGUCUCGCAUGUGGAUCAUAGGAAACAGAAUAGGUGUUCCAGGAAUUGAACUUCAUAGGAAACAAUUAAGUCUAGCAAGAAUUCAUUAUAUCAUUAUCAAACAGUUUCUAACAGUAUAAGAAAAAACCUUUUGGAAAUCCACAUGUCGUUCGGAUCCCGCUGGUUAGUAGGUUUGGCCCCCUUCUUUUGCCAGGCACUGCUUUAAAUGUUCACCAACAAUAUUAUACAUGUGGUGUCAUACGUUGUCCACACACAAAAUAACAGGAAAAGGCAAAAUCUAAAAUAUACAAGUUCAACCGAAGUUGCUGCUCAUCAAGGAAUAGCAAGAGAUUAUGCAAGUCAGGUACAGUACUGUUAUCAUGACAACUAGGAACUAAAGGUGCCACGCUGAAUUGGUAUCUUAGGGCCUGUUCGGCCGCUCUCCGCGGAGCGGAGCCGGCGGAGCGCCCUUUUAGCAGCUCUGCGUAUUAUACCUAGCAAGCCACUCCGCUCCGGCGCGGAGCCGCGGAGCGGAGGGAGUCCGAACGCGACCUUAAUUUAUGGGCGGAGGCAAGAUCUGAAACUGAACCAGAAUCUCAAGUUUCGGUUUGCCUUAUAAUGUAUUAUUGCUACACAGAUAAUUAUUAUUCUUGUACAUGAUCUCAACUUGUCACAGGACAUCAUUAGCAUUUUCAUAUAUUCUCUCGGAUCCCACUUUUCAAAGCCAGAACAACAUUCAAGAGUCUAAACUAUGGUGACAACCCAAGGUUCAGAGCAAUAAAUAUAUCAUUAAAAUCAGUCUAAAUGUGCCAUUUUCCACAAAGUAUCAUCAUAGUUAAGAUCUAUAGCUAAGUUCUAUGUUCCAAAUUUAAGCACUAUGCUAGUUACUUAUGAUGACAAUACACUAAGCAAAUUUCUUUUGAUAACGAAGGUCAACCAAAUUGACCACUAUGCAGAAGGUGUGCUCAUGCAUAACAACUACACUGUUUUCUUCUCAAAGCACAUAGUACGUGCAAAUUAGCUUUCAAAAUCCACACAUAACAUAAGCAGGAACAUGUGGAGGGGGGAAACAAUUCUUCCGAAGAGAAAUCGUUGUAUUGCUGUGAAAUAGCUAACACACGAGGUGGAUAAAGACCUUGCAUUAGAAGGACUAAAACCAACCCACUGUGCUAGUUGGAUCUGGAAGAGGCAUCUUGGAGCAUACCUUCUUGGCCGGCAGCACCUCCAGGAGAUGGUGAGCUUGGGCGCGAACGAAAAGGGAAGCUCCCGGCAGGGUUUGGA